rnacentral:lncRNA from 1 species
GAUUUGAUACCAUCUCUGGGAAUUGCAAAGGUUGUUCAUGUAGAGACUGUGAGUCUCUGCUGCAUGCGCGCUUUGAGCUUCAAAAUUAGGAGAGUUGCUUGCACUGAAACACAGAUCCAUCUCUUCAGUAAUUACUGUACCAGUAAACGACAAUUCAAACAACAAAUACUGAAAUGUUAAAUUAAAGAGGAUAUGUUGGUUUUAUCCUAUUUCUACAGUGUUGGAGGAUCUAACAAGAUUUCUUUUGAACGAUUUCGUUCCAGUAAAGUUACUAUGCAAAAACUGAAUUUUGGUUCGGACGCAAUCUUUUGGUUCGAAUGGUUUCGUUCAUGUAAACUUGUACGUAGAAACUGGAAUUUGGUUCGGACACAGUGUUAUGGUUCAAACGAAGAGAAAGCCUAUGUUUGGGGCCAUUUCGUGUAAGGCUAUGACAAAGCCAAUUAUAAGUAGAAAAACCUGAAACUUUUCUUGUGAGAGAGAAAGAGAUCUAGGAAAAGCAAUUGAGAGAGUUUGAGAGAGAACUCCUUGUGUGGAAGAGAACCAUAUUAGUUUCUUCACGAGUGUUGGAAGAUUGUCUUGUCUCCGUCAACAAGUGAGUGUGAGGGAGUAUUGUGAUGUGUGAGAGAUCUAUUGAAGCUUUUGUUUUCUAUAACUACCAUGAUCAUCACUUCUUUGCUACAAUAUUUUAUUGGGGAGCUGAGAUUUAUUUUCAAUCGAAACAUAACUUGGUAUCCAUAUAAGUUCAUGGUACGUGGUGCAACCAUAGUUUAAAAUUUUGAAGCUGGGCGAAAUUUCGGAUUCAGAGUAUAUUCCAACAUUCCGACCCACAAAAUAAAUACGUCACCUGAAAUGUCGAGAAUAUUCUUGAAUAUUCCUAAAAUUUAAAAUACCGAUUCUCUAAAACCUGGCAUAUUCCGCCAAAAUUUGGCGAAGUAUGUCGGCAUUUUGAACUAUGGGUUCAACCAUAAGCUGCAAAGAAUGUUGUAAUAUACCAGACUAUGUGUACGACUGCUUGAAAGAUAAACUCUGCAAAAUUAGUAUUUCCAUAAUAACUUUUAAAAUCGAAGCUUAUUCUCAAUUUUCUCCAGAAUUCCAAGGUUAUAUACUAAUAAUUCAAUGUCAAAAGCAAUUAGCCACUACAUAUUUGAGAGCACCCAACACUCUAUAUAUAUACUAUGUGAAUGUGCACGCCUAAUGCGUGCGAACAAAAAUAAUAAAUUUAUUUAUGCCUAAUAAAAUAAGAAAAAAAAAAAAACCUGUUUAAAUGUUUAUUUGGGUUUAUAACUACUUUAUAAAAAAUAUAUAUAUUUUUUUAUUUUUUUAUUUUUUUUUGCAAGUUUUUUUUUUUUUUUAACAAAACUCUGUAGGUUUUUUAUAUCUAUAAAUUAUAGUAGGUUCCAUUUUUUUUUUGAAAUUAUCUUAUAUAAAUUAUAGUGGGUUCCAAUUUUUUUGCCCUUUACAUUGUAGUAUACAAACCUUAAUACAUAAGGGGUAAAAUCGAAACUAUGGAAAUAAACACGCUAUCUUAUAUAAAUUAUAAUAGAUCCCACUUUUUUUUAAAUUAUUUUUUUACCUUUUUCAUUGUAGUAUACACCUCUUAAUACAUUAGGAUAAAAUCGGAAAUGUGGAAAUAAAAUCAGAACUUAGGGGUAAAAUCGGAAGUGGGAAAAUAAAAUUGAAACUUAGGGGUAAAAUUGGAACUAUGGAAAUAAAAUCAAAAUUUAGGGAUAAAAUCGGAACUGUUUAUAAGAGAUAGGGGUAUAAUCAGAACUUUAAUAAGAGGUAGGGGUAUAAUCGAAACUAUUUAUAAGAGGUAGGGGUAUAAUUGGAACUGUUUAUAAGAGAUAGGGGUAUAAUCAGAAUUUUAAUAAAAGGUAGGGGUAUAAUAAAACUAUUUAUAAGAGAUAGGGGUAUAAUCGUAACUGUGUAUAAGAGAUAGGGGUAUAAUCGUAACUGUACAUGAGAGACAUGUCAGGCCUCGUGAACGACCUCGGGAAGGAGGCGCCUUAGAAAGUAGUUUAGAUACUUGAGGGACAUGAAAUAUAGUUGAUUUCUGCAUGUUGUUUUGGUGAUAUAUAUUUGUAUGUUUUUUGUGAAAAUUGUGUUUUUCACACGCAUACAGUAAAGAUUACAAGCAUAAAAAAUUGCUGGAACAAGGAAAAUCAUGAGCAGAACAUUUGGAGAAGGAACAUAAAAAAAAUAGGCCAUGAGGCCCAAUAUUUUGGAGAACUAUUGAAACUGAAAAAUAGGCCUUGAGGCCCAAUAAAUUGAGCUAGGGUUUUAAAGUAUGGCCCUGCUUGUUUGGGCUGCUAAAAAGGCAAAUAUUUACCCAUCUAUCAUUAGAGUGGUUUUUGUUUUUCUUUCAAAAACAAACUUUAUUUUUUUUAAAGGAAACACAACUUUAUUAAUUGAAAUGGAAAUAGCUGUACAAAUUAUUUACAUUCGGCAGAACGCGUUUUACACACUCCUCGCAUAUCAGUACACAAAAUAUCUUUUAAUCCCUGAGGAGCAUUAGCCAAAAUAGCAAAAUCUUGCUUGGAAUCAAUAGCAUAUUUGCUCAACCAAUCAGCAGCGUCAUUUCCUUCACGAGGCACUUUCAUGAAACCGGCUCUAAGUUGUUUGACAUCAAUUUUGUGACAUUGGCCGUCCAUGGUUAUUUCGCCUUGAGUUCAUUGUUAAGAAAAUCUUGUUGUACGCGCGUCAUCCCGUGUCUUUGUCUUCGCGUCUUGUGUCAAAAGUAUGUGUUUUGGUUCAGGACGUACGUACCUUGUUAGGACGUACGUACGUCAGGUUAGGCAGCAAAACUUUCAUCGUGUUAAACGUACGUACCAUGUUAGGGCGUACGUACGUAUGGUUAGGCAGCAGGAAAGUUUUUGUUCUGGACGUACGUACCUUGUUAGACGUUCGUACGUCCAAGCAGUCAGCAAGUUUGUUUCGGAUGGAGACGUACGAACGUCAUAUCGACGUACAUACGUCCAAUGUGGAUUUUCUCUAUUUCGGCCCAUUUUCUGUGUUUUCCAACCCUAAGUAUAAAUAGGGUUUCUCUUCCAAAGAAGAAGUUAGUUCUUUGGCCGUCCAGUAUUUCUCUUGUUCUGGAGUUUUGGUUUAGGUUUUGAUGUUGAAAGUGUUUUUGGUUAUUGAACUCAAUUCCCUUCCUUCCCCCUUCUCUCAAUUCAUAAAUUUGUUAUCUUCCAAGUUUCAUUGUGAAUUCGGCUUCGAGUCUUCUUGUGUGUUCAUCAAGAAGUCGAGUGUCUUGUGCGUACAUCAAGGUGCUGUGGUGAAGUCAAGGUGUUAGAGAUAACCAGGAGUAUCAACUCGCAGUGAGUGCAGGUAGUUGAUAGGUUUGUACAUCUCUUUUCAUCUAGUGGAUUAUUUGUUGUCAUCAAGGCAACCGUGGACGUUUCCCGUAUUGGGUUUUACCACGUUAAAAAUUUCUGUGUGUUAUUUACUUUCUGCGUAUUGGUUGAUUUGUUUGAAUAUUCAAUUGUUAUAUUAGCACUAUUUGUAGUUUCUCAUUUCAUCAACAGGAUCUGCAAGGACCCAUUCUGCAACUUCCACCGGCACAUCUGCACCAAAGAGUUUAAUUUCCAAGGGGGUUCAACAACCCCUGUGAUUCACUUGUAAACCAGAUGAGAAUCAGUUUGAAUAAUUAAUGUAGUAACAUCAUUUAAUGAGCCAUUACUCAUACACCAAAAGUUACUCAAAAUUUUCGGCACCAAAGCCUAGUAACUGUACCAAGUUUGAAACCGGCACGAAGUGGUUUGACAUCAAUUUUGUGACAAAGUGUCUUUGGUUAUCUCGCCUUGAAUUCAUUGUUAGGAAAAUCAAGAUGUACGCAUGGUCGUCUCGUGUCCUUGUGUCUCUUAGGUCUGUCCAGGAAAAGUUAUUGGGUUCUGGACGUACGUACCGAGUUAGGACGUACGUACGUUCACUGAAGCAGCGAACUUCUUUUGGUCAGGACGUACGUACUCAGUUAGGACGUUCGUACGUCCAGGUAGGCAGCAGACGUGUUUUCGUAUGGAGACGUACGUACCGAGUUAGAGCGUUCGUACGUCAUGUUAGGCAGCAGGCUUAUUUUUGUGUGGCGACGUUCGAACGUCAUAUCGACGUACGAACGUCCAAAGUCGGUUUGCACAGUUUCGGCCCAUUUUCCUAGGUUUUCAACCCUAAGUAUAAAUAGGGUUUCUCUUCCUUAGAAGAAGUCAGUUCUUUGGCCGUCCAUCCUUCUCCUUGUUCAUGUGUUUUGGUUAGGUUUGUGAUAGUGAAAUUGUUUGUGGCUAUUGAACUCAAUUCCCUUUCUUCCCCCUUUUCUCAAUUCAUAUCUUUGUGAUCUUCAAGAGUUAUUGUGAAUUCGGCUUCGAGUCUUCUUGUGUGUUCAUCAAGAAGUCGAGUGUCUUGUGCGUACAUCAAGGUGCUCUGGUGAAGUCAAGGUGUUAGAGAUAACCAGGAGUAUCAACUCGCAGUGAGUGCAGGUAGUUGAUAGGUUUGUACAUCUCUUUUCAUCUAGUGGAUUAUUUUGUUGUCGCGAGGACAACCGUGGACGUUUCCCUGUUUGGGUUUUACCACGUUAAAAAUCUCUGUGUGUUAUUUACUUUCUGCGUAUUGUUUGUUUGCUUGUUUGAAUUCACAUUUGUUAUACUAGCACUAUUUGUAGUUUCUCAAUUGGUAUCAGUCGCUGGGGGCUGGUUAAGGAGCGUAAAGGCUCACGCUAACGAUCAAUAGUGCUUUAUGGAUUCUCACAAGUCUGCUACUUCAAGUCUUCCUCCACAAUUCAGUGGAAAGGACUUUGGUCAUUGGAAAGUACGUAUGCGAGCUUAUCUCCAAGCAUUAGGAGAAGAAGUCUGGCUUUCUGUUGUCACAGGGUGGAAAGAACCUCUGACUACUACAGGUACUGAUGAUACUGCUGUUACAUCACUGACGCCACGUGAAAAGUGGACGCCUGAACAGAAGUUGUUGGCAAAUUAUAACAACAAGGCACUCAAUGCUAUUUUCAUGGCAUUAAAUGCUAGUGAGUUUCGUAGGGUGCAGGGCUGUGAAGAGGCUAAAGAUGCAUGGAACAGGCUUAUCUGUACACAUGAAGGUGACGAAACAGUCAAAGAAAGUAAGCUGGAACUGUUAACAUCUCAGUUUGAGAAUCUACGAAUGGAUAAUUCUGAGACUUUUGAUGAUUUCUUUAUUCGUCUCCAAGACAUCAUCAACUGCAGUGCGGCUAUUGGUCAUGCAUAUACUGACACACAGGUGGUCCGUAAGAUAUUGCGUGCUUUGCCUCCUCGGUUUCGUUCACGAAAGGAUGCCAUCACUGAAAGUAAUGUGAUUAAGAACAUGUCCAUCGAGACACUUGCUGGCAAACUAAGGACAUGUGAGAUGGAACAGGCUUUGGAAGAACCUUUGAAGAACAAAUCUGUUGCAUUCAAAGCUACAUCGUCUAAAGAACCUUCCACAGGACCUUCUGAUGAUGAAGAACAGGAUGUGGAUGAUAACUAUGCGUUUCUGUCACGUAGCUUUCAGAAGAUUCUGAAAUAUCAACAGAAUCGAGAUCCUCGAAAGCGAUUUCCUGAUUCCUCAAAUGCUCCUAGAAGUCGUGGUUUUGAGCGGUUCUCUGUGGAUGGGAGGAGAGCUCGGGUUGAUCGUAAAGAUGUCCAAUGUUACAAGUGUCGUGAUUAUGGACACUUUGCAAAUGAAUGUGAUAAGAAGGUCGAUCGCAAACCUGGUGAUAAUUCCAAAGCGAAUCUCACAGUAACAUGGGAUGAUUCAGAUGAAGAUGAUGAUGGGAAUCUCUCAAAUGUUGUCUCCAAUUAUGUGGUCUUCAGUGCAUCCCUGGAUGAACAUCCAGGAGGUAUUGUAUCUUCUUCUGCUGAUAUUAAUGUUUCUGAUUCUGGUGUUCAUGCUACUACUAGUGAAUUAUGUGACAUGUAUAAGUUUUCUAUGCAACAAGUAAAGUUGCUUGAAAAAACUAACACCGUCUUGCAGGAUCAGGUAGAGAGUCUUGGACAGGAUAUAUGCACUCUUACAGGUGAUUCCAACAUGUUGAAGGAAGAAUUUGUGAAGGAAAAGGAGGAUUUCCAAGUGCGUAUUGUCACUCUGGAAAAACUGAAUAAUGAUCUGGAAACACGGUAUCGAUCCCUUGUACUGGAGCAUGAGAGAGUAAAGGCUGAAUUGUUUGCUGCUAACAAACAAUUGGUUGGGUUUGGUAAAGCAAGUGCUAAUUUAAACUCUCUGUUGGGAAUCGGUAAAUCCCAUUCAGAUAAAUCUGGUUUAGGUUAUGACACUUCUGUUCCCCUUGCUACUGCUAGUACUUCCCGCACUACCUUUGUGCGACCAACUAGUGUCGCUAUUCCUGCUCCUGUGCAGGUGUCUAGUGUGGUAUCACCACCCAAGGUUACUCAUGUAAAGCAUGCUCGGAAAAAGAACUCUAGACACAAAGGCUUUAAAUGUCUAACAUGUGGUCGCAUGGGUCACACUUCUGCCUUUUGUUGGAAUAAUUUGUAUCCUGCUCAUCAUCCUUCUUUUGCAGGUAACUCAUAUUGGAACAAGUCUUCCACCUUCUCCAUGCAGGCUCCAUACAUGUGGAAUGGCUAUGCUCCGUGGGGUUUACCCAGAACUUCUCCCUAUGGAAACCGUCCUCAAGCAACACCCAUGCCUACUCCACCACCACAUUUCUGGGAUAGGAGUAUGGAUGCAUCCAGGAAAAUGGUGUCUCACAUGGCUCGUUUGGUUGAACCAUUGCCUUCAUCAUGGUAUCUUGACAGCGGUUGUUCGCGUCAUAUGACAGGUGAUAAGACUCUGAUUGAUAACCUGACUCUUGGUUAUGGAGGUAAGGUUAGGUUUGGUAAUGGUAAAUUGCUUCCGGGUGAAGGUAAAGGUAACUUUUCUGAGGUUGAAUCGCUAAAUAGUCAUGAGCUUCUUUUAGUUAAGGGUCUUAGGUCCAAUCUAUUGAGUAUUAGUCAGUUGUGUGAUGCUAAAUUUAAGGUUGUGUUUGAGGAUAAUAGGUGUGAUGUUUUUGAUUCCAAUCAUAUCUUGGUGUUAUCUGGUAGUCGCUCAUCUGAUAACUGCUUCAUUGUCACUACACCUCUUCUGCAUUCAUAUGUCUAAUGUGUUCAUUGGAACUGUCUGUGUUUAGGAUGUUUAGGUUUGGUCAUUUAUUGUUAUUGUUGGUAUUGAGGACAUACUACAUUCUCUAUUGUAUGGAUUUCAUUUUACAGAUGUUUCUAGUUUGGCGUCCUCAACUGUUUUUGUGUCGUGCAUAGUUGUAGGGUUACAUCAUACUCUCUUCGUCUUGGUAGUUUCUUGCAUGAUGCAUUUCAAUGUGGUUGGCUUGACAUUUUCAAAACUUGUAUAACUCCAGUCUUCCAUGGUUGUUUUUUUUCAUGAUCGUUGUGUUAAUUUUCUUUAUUCUCUCACCUCUUGUAAGUGGUCAAUGACUCACAAAAUCCCCAGCCAUUUGAAUGUCUUGAGAGCAUACUCAUUUGGCUAAGAACCCGUUGGGGCUGUGAGGGUCAUGCUCUGACGGAUGCACUCAAGAGAUGUUAGUUCUUGUGUUGCACGUUAUCAUGGUAUUGCACUUCUUGAGUGUGUUUUGCCGAAAAGAUGUAGGCUACACCCUACCCUCGUGUUCUGGUAAAAGAUGGAGAUAUUUCAUACUCCCACACGGGAAUGGCAUCUGUUUCAAUGGUUUACAAACAAAAAAAAAAAAAAAAAAAAAAAAAAAAAAAAAUGAAUGAAUAGUGGCUCCCGCAUUUGUCUGGUUGAAGGACAAGAAGAAAAACAAUAGUGUGUGUUUUCCUUGCUGUAUUGUGAUCUGGUUCAGUUUCAUUUUGGGCUAGUUGCAAGUGACCUUCAAUAUUCUCUAUGAUCAUGUCUUUAGUUUGUUUUUCGGAGGGUGGUAUUGGUCUAUCAGGUUCUUCUACAUACUUGCAUCAUUCUAGUAACUACCAUGUCAUGGUGUAUGAUGUCGUUCUUCGAUUUUGCAUUCUCUUGUGGUUGAGGUUUGUUUAAACUAUAUUCGGUUGUAAUUGGAAUUCGUAUGAUACGUAGAAGUGUUUUCUUGUGAUGUCUCUCAAUUUUUGUUUUUGGGGUUGUGUGGUUUAUUAUCUAGCUGUUAGGUUGGUUCUACCUAUUUUUACAAAAAAAAAAAAAAAAAAAAAAAAAAGGGGUCGUACGAACGUUGUGAUGACGUCCGAACGUUGAGGUGGGCAGAUCUAUUUACAACGUACGAACGUUAUUAGAACGUACGAACGUAGGGUCUGACAGAUGUUUGAGUUUUUGAGUCCCGACGUACGAACGUCUGUAGGACGUACGAACGUCCCUGAUACAGUCCGGCCCAUUUGCUGUUUAAAUUCAAAUUUUGUUUAAACCAAUGGCCAAUUGUUAUAUCGAUCGUGCUUCUUCUUCUCUUGCACGUACACUUGGAAUUCUCCAUUCUCCUUCAACCGUUUUUGGUCUCUCUUCUCCUUCUAGCUUUUCCUUUUUCCUCCUCUUCCUUGGAGGUUGUUUGUUGCUUAACUUCCGAAGUUUCUCUGUCUAGUGCAUACUCUGUUCUUACUCAAGUAAGUAAACUCUACUUCUUCCUAUAUUCUUCUUCUUCUCUUCUCCUUCCUCUCUUGGUAUUGAUUGGAUUGCAUGGUUAGUUUCCAUUUUUCUUUGAAAUAUCUGUUUUUUUUUAUUUUUCUUGUUGGUUAGUAUUUCCAUUCAAUUCCUUGAAAUUGUUGGACGAAUUGGAUAUCUCUAUUUCUUGUUAUUGCUUCUUUACUGUUGGGAUUGUUUUGUGAUAUGUUUGGGUGCUCACCAUUGCUACCUUGUUGUCGAUAGCAUGUGUUUGUUUCUGCACAUCAAGUGUUUGAUUAAAUGUCACAAUGACCCUGCUGUUUUUUUUUUUUUUUUUUUUUUUUUUGUCAUUGUUUCUUACAUUCUUGGUUUGUUUGCUGUUGUGAUUGUGUAGACAAUGGCUUCCAAGCGUGCACGCACCUCCACGGCAUCCGCUUCUAAGGGAGCAUCUUCUUCUCGCGCUCCGAGGGGUCGUGGUUCCAAUUCGGGUUUGUCAUCUCAUCCUUUAUCCCUUGGCGCUCAUCCUCGAGCCAAGGCCAUUGUUCCCGAGCGUUUCUUCGACUUGGGAGACAUUGCUGCCACCCCUCUAGGGGCUUCUCAACUAGGCAAUAUCGCAUUGUUCUUUGAGACUCGGAAUUGGCUAAGGGUGGCUCAACCAAUCACCAAGUACUCGGUUGAGCAUACGAUAGCAUUCUAUGAGACGAAGAGUCCUUCGCAGAAUCGCUCGAGUUUUUCGGUCCUCAUUGAUGGUCGGAGAUACACUAUUUCUCCGAAGGUGAUUCGUGAGGCAUUGGGUAUUGACGAUGAUUUUCUUCCUGAAGGUGCUGUUCAUGUUCGAUGGCCUAUUCCGGAUGAGAUUCAGAUUGACCUUGUCGAUCAAGUUCAGCGGAUGUUCAUCGAUGGGGUCACGGAGAGAUAUCAUGCAAAGUUCUACAGCGCCAUCCUUGUCCACAUGGUUGCUCACUCCAACAUCUACCCCACCAAGGGCAACAAGAUAAUUAUGACCGACGACAUGGUCAAAUUGGUGGUUUGUAUGUCGGUGCACCAUAUUAGUCUUUCUGAGGUCAUCUACAAUCGGAUGCUUCAAAUUGAUGCAGCUAAGGGUACUCUUCCUUUCCCUAGCUUUAUUAUGACAAUUCUCAGGCACUUGGGUUUUCAGGGACAGUACACGGAGGUGAGCCCUCCAAGGUUCGUUGGCCAUGACUGGGUCAAUGCCAUUAAGAAAGGCUGUCAGUCUCGGAAGGUUGCUUUUGAGUCUGUGGGUGCGCGCUUGACGCAUCAUCUUAUUUGGGGAGGCCGGGCGCUUGUUCGCGAUGAUGAUUUUGAUCGGGCUUUGACCUCUGGACGCCCCAUCCCAGCCUCUGCUAGGGGAAAUCGGGCUGUUGCAGCCAUUGAUGCUCGGGUUUCCUCUCUCCGCCGUCAUCAGGACCAUAUGGAUGCUCGGUUGGAUCGUUUCGGGGCCAUUCUCUCUCGUCAUGAUGUCAUGAUCAGUGAUAUUCAUGCGAUGAAUGUUGCUCAGAUGCGGCAUCUACAGCUGGACUUCACUCCCACAGACUUGCCUCCGUUUCCGGAAGAGGUGCCUCCUGUUCCUGGUGAGAGUGAUGGCGAUGACUCAGAGAGUGAGGAUGAGGGUGAUGGUGAACCGAGUGAUGGUGCCUCGGAAUCCGAGUAGUUGGUUUUCUGGUUUCCUCUUCCCAUUUUUGUAUUUAACUGCUAUAUUGGUUUGUUUCUAUUUUUUUAUUGUACAUGUUCUUGGAUAUUGCUAUUUUCAUGUUAGUUCAAGUUGGUUUCCUUGUUUUGCAGUAAAAUUUUCUGGGGUAAUGGACCUUCCUUUUUGGGCCCAUGAUAUGUUUACUCCUAUGUUUCUUAUAAAUAGGGAGUCUUUUUUCUCCUUCACUCCUAUUGUAUCCUCUUAUCUCUUGCUAGUUCUCUCUUUGUUCUUCAGAUUCUUCUAUGGCAGAAUAUGAACUUCAUGGAAUUUUCGUUCCGACUGUUGGUUAUGUGUCGUUCAUGGUAAUGGAGUACAAGAACAAUGCUAAGGUUUGUCGGUUAUGUCGCGUUCCCCAUGGAUAUGACUAUAUUCAUCGUCCUUUUCUUAAUCCUUGUUUGGUUCGUGUCAAUCAUUGGGAGAGAUUACCGGGACAUCUUCAAAAUCACAUCUUGGAGUUGGUUGGUUAUCCGAAGGUAAAAGGACUUGCUGCUCCACUUACCGACUGUGGCUUGGACAGCAGGAUUGAGGAGUUGUUUUGUAAGAGUGGAUGGCUGGAGGAUUAUGAUGGUCAUGUGAUUGCUCGGUGGAAUAGGCCUUCGGCUCGUGCGGAAGCUUACUUCUCCAAGCUUCCUUUAGGUCAUUGGGAACGGGUUUUUUCGAAUUCGUUAACUCAAGCCUUAUGUUUUUGUCGUUUUUGUUUUUCUUAUGUUUAUGGAUUUCUCUGUUUGGUUAUUAGUUGACUUUCUGAACUUUUUGGAUUAGUUUUAUAUUUUUUUUUAUCUGUCUUGUAUUCUUUGUUUGGUUUUGAUUUCUUUUUCUUGGUUAUUGGUUUAUUAUUGUUCUUUUCCUUUGAUGGAUGGUUGGUUAUUUUGAUCACUUGUUGCUCUAAUUACUAACAAUCGUCUUCUUGUUGUUAGGUUAUUUUUGGGUCAUGUUUCAGGUAUGCUACACGUAUGGGGGAGUUGCUCAUGAAGUUUGGAGCUCAUGAAGUAUGGGGGAGUUGCUCAAGGAACUUCUGUUGAAUCUAUGAUGGCUUCCGUUCGAUCUCUGAUGGUUAAAGCAUCUUCCUAAAGCUGGAUAACAAGAAUUGGUGACUUGUUAUGUGUUUCUAUUUUGAGUGUUUUUGUAGGCAUGUUUUAUAAAUGCCAUGGUUUGGGAUUGUAAGCACGUUUUAUAAGUGCUAUUAGAGUCAUAGGUUUUUGUCACAAAAUCAAUGUCAAAGGGGGAGAUUGAAACCGGCACGAAGUGGUUUGACAUCAAUUUUGUGACAAAGUGUCUUUGGUUAUCUCGCCUUGAAUUCAUUGUUAGGAAAAUCAAGAUGUACGCAUGGUCGUCUCGUGUCCUUGUGUCUCUUAGGUCUGUCCAGGAAAAGUUAUUGGGUUCUGGACGUACGUACCGAGUUAGGACGUACGUACGUUCACUGAAGCAGCGAACUUCUUUUGGUCAGGACGUACGUACUCAGUUAGGACGUUCGUACGUCCAGGUAGGCAGCAGACGUGUUUUCGUAUGGAGACGUACGUACCGAGUUAGAGCGUUCGUACGUCAUGUUAGGCAGCAGGCUUAUUUUUGUGUGGCGACGUUCGAACGUCAUAUCGACGUACGAACGUCCAAAGUCGGUUUGCACAGUUUCGGCCCAUUUUCCUAGGUUUUCAACCCUAAGUAUAAAUAGGGUUUCUCUUCCUUAGAAGAAGUCAGUUCUUUGGCCAUCCAUCCUUCUCCUUGUUCAUGUGUUUUGGUUAGGUUUGUGAUAGUGAAAUUGUUUGUGGCUAUUGAACUCAAUUCCCUUUCUUCCCCCUUUUCUCAAUUCAUAUCUUUGUGAUCUUCAAGAGUUAUUGUGAAUUCGGCUUCGAGUCUUCUUGUGUGUUCAUCAAGAAGUCGAGUGUCUUGUGCGUACAUCAAGGUGCUCUGGUGAAGUCAAGGUGUUAGAGAUAACCAGGAGUAUCAACUCGCAGUGAGUGCAGGUAGUUGAUAGGUUUGUACAUCUCUUUUCAUCUAGUGGAUUAUUUUGUUGUCGCGAGGACAACCGUGGACGUUUCCCUGUUUGGGUUUUACCACGUUAAAAAUCUCUGUGUGUUAUUUACUUUCUGCGUAUUGUUUGUUUGCUUGUUUGAAUUCACAUUUGUUAUACUAGCACUAUUUGUAGUUUCUCAAAGUUGCAAUGGUGAACACUUCCUAUUAUGUUAACCAUCAUCAUUUAAUGAGCCAUUACUUAUACAUCAAAGGUUUCUCAAACUUUUCGGCACCAAAGCUGUAUUAACCAUAUUUGUGAGGUUGGUUAAUACAUUAAUGAAAGAUGAUGUGUAAAUGAUAUGAACAAUAAUAAUAAAGUAGAGACAUGAACACCAUUGCUUACGUGGUUCGGCAAUUGUGCCUACAUCCAGGGAGAGGGAGAAAGAAGUUUAUUAUAGUAGUGGUGGUGAUACAAAAUGGGAGCUCGAUUAUGAGGAGAGCUCGAGAGAGAUGAGACCUGAGAGGUGAGGUCUCAUCAUGAGAGAUUGGGGAGGUCAUUGAUCAUGAGACCUCACCAUGAGAUCGUGUUGAGAGCAUUAGACUAUCAUCAGAUCAGAACAUGUGAGAAGAUGAGAACAAGCCUAGAAUGAGUAGCUUGCCUUCAUAUUUAUAGGCUACAAUGUAACUCCAUUCUUAGCAUUUACUAGGGUAAUAAUGAGAGAAUAUCUUUGUAGUAAUUGGCUUUAACUUUGUAACUUGUGUCAUCAAGAGAGAGCCCAUUAGAUGUUGACACGUGGCACCAUGAUGGACGGUAGAGAUGGUGCCACAUGUAUGUUGUAUAUAGUACCCCUACAUAAGCUCCCUCUUUUUAGGUUGAACGGAGUUCGGGCUGAAAAGAAGUAAUCGAACCGAUCUAGCCCCCAAGAUGAAUGAAAUAUGGGGUUCUUUAACGAAGUCGAUCCUCCCCAAAAGUUGAUGAGCUUGAUUAUUGAGAUAUGCAGGACGCGAUGAAGGUCCCUUGUGGUAAUGGCAACUCGAUCAUGACUUUGUGUAUAACGAGCUAGUUAGUUCCAGGGAGACCUGGUAGCUCGUUCAGAAGGCAUGUAGACGAGAUGGAUAGCUGCAAGCAGGUCGUACUGAAGUGGGUCCUCUUGCAUACAUGGGUGGUUGUCUUUUUGUGGUCGAGUUGCAUAGACCUGAUACUUGUUGAUAAUGUUAGCAUGUGAAAUAUUAUAAAAUUUAAUAAAAGACUUACACUGAACUGUAUGUCUUCCUUAUGACUUUUGUAUGUACUAUCUUUGUCGCCUUGUGAUUGGACAUUCCGAUAGAUGUGGCACUUUGGAAUGCAAAUGUAGCUCGUUGGAGAAAGAGCAUUGGUUGACCAAGUGUUGUGAGAGUUACUUGGAACCUUUUGGUGCCCGAUCUAGUCAAUGGUCGCAGUGUGGAGACCUGUUUGACAAUUCUCGGGCAUGUGGCCUUUGUGGGUCUGCAUUGCGUUGAAAGUGAAUGUGUUCGACUAGGCGUGUGGCUAGAGAAUUGUGGUUGAGGUCGUCCAGCAUACGAGUGACUCACUAGUCAAUGAGGGUGGCCAUAUUUUAUAUCAAGCAUUUCACUUGUAAAGAGUUCAGUGAAAGCAAUGUGGCACAUUUGUGCAAAAAUAGCUCAUGGGGAGUGAGGUCGUGUUCAUGUGACCUGCACAUAGAGAGAGCUACAAAAAAUAUCAUUAAUAUGUGCCAAUAAUAAGUUAAAGAAAUUAGAUAAAGUGAGAAUAGCCCCCUGUAUGGCAUAUAAAUUCUUGAGGUCAUUGAAAGACCUGUAAUUUGAGGAGGUCGUUGAUAGACCUGGUGAGGUCCCAAUUAGAGACCUGAACAUGAAGUGAGGUCGCGACGAGACCUAAGUGUUGGAGAGGUCGCAAUUAGAGACCUGAUGAGGUCGUGAUUAGGGACCUGGCGAGGUCACAAUGAAGGACCUGGAGAGGUCGCGACGAGACCUGAGAGGUCGUUGGCUUAGGGACCUGACAUGAAGUGGGGUCGCGUCGAGACCUGAGAGGUCGUUGGCUUAGAGACCUGACAUCAAGUGAGGAGGUCUCUGCAAGACCUGAACAUGUGGCCAUUAAGAAUGUAACUGAUAUAUAUAAUCAUGAUCGAGUUAUGAGAAUAUAUGUUACAUAGAUGAAUAUAAUAAUCAAUUUGUGUGAGACAAAAUAGAAUGAACAGUAAGAAAUGGAGGUCUCUUCGAGUGGGUAAACAUAAACAAAUAUCAUAGUGAAUUGAUAUAUAUCUUGCAUUCGUCGAGUUUCACAUACAGUAGUGGUAACCGAAAGUAAACCCCCAAUUGAAAAUUGUGAUUGCAAUUCUACCAAAUAGAAUUUCUUGAACUUGAAAUCACCACUUUGAGAGCCUUACAACAAUGGUGUAAUGGUGGGGUUGGUGGGUGGAAUUCGCUUGAGAAAAUCCCAAGUCCCUGUAGUCGGCGCCUAAUGUAUUAACCAUAUUUGUGAGGUUGGUCAAUACAUUAAUGAAAGAUGAUGUGUAAAUGAUAUGAACAAUAAUAAUAAAGUAGAGACAUGAACACCAUUGUUUACGUGGUUCGGCAAUUGUGCCUACAUCCACGGAGAGGGAGAAAGAAGUUUAUUAUAGUAGUGGUGGUGAUACAAAAUGGGAGCUCGAUUAUGAGGAGAGCUCGAGAGAGAUGAGACCUGAGAGGUGAGGUCUCAUCAUGAGAGAUUGGGGAGGUUGUUGAUCAUGAGACCUCACCAUGAGAUCGUGUUGAGAGCAUUAGACUAUCAUCAUAUCAGAACAUGUGAGAAGAUGAGAACAUGCCUAGAAUGAGUAGCUUGCCUUCAUAUUUAUAGGCUACAAUGUAACUCCAUUCUUAGCAUUUACUAGGGUAAUAAUGAGAGAAUAUCUUUAUAGUAAUUGGCUUUAACUUUGUAACUUGUGUCAUCAAGAGAGAGCCCAUUAGAUGUUGACACGUGGCACCAUGAUGGACGGUAGAGAUGGUGCCACAUGUAUGUUGUAUAUAGUACCCCUACAAAAGCCUAGUAAGUGUACCAAGUUGCGAUGGUGAACACUUCCUAUUGUGUUAACCCCAGACAGAAACCCUACCUUUUUCUCAUGAAAAACAAUCCUUCGAAAACCGUUCCAUAUCCUCCAUGUCCAAGCUCUAUGCUAAAAUCUGUCGUUGCGACCUUUAGCUCCUGAUGUGAGGACCUCCUUGGCUUUUCAAAUACAUGGUCUAAAGGAUCUUCACAGAUGUGUAGGCUGAGUAAAACCAAUUCAUAUACUUUUUUCUUUCUUUCUUGUAUUCUGUUUCUCUUGAAUGUUUGUAAAAACUCCAUCCCACAUUCCACCUUUGUCUAUAUUCUAUUUUUUGACAUUAUUAAUUUUUAAUUUUUUUCUUAUAUAAAGAGAGGACUACUGUUUGUUGAUUCAUUUUAGCUCAAAGCUAUUCUUACUCUAACAUCAUCUCUACCGACAACAAUUUUAACCACAAGAUUACAUUCUCUACUUAAACAUAUAUAGAAAUAUAACAUCUUCUAUUUAUUCUAACAGUAAAGCCAUUAUUCCAAAUAAGAAAUCUGGAAGAAGAAACAGGUAGAGAAGAAGAACCCCAUUGGCUUAAAAUCAGAAUUAACGCAAUAACAAAAAAAAAGUGGAAGACAAAUCAGAACUAACCCAAUAACCAAUAAUGAUUAAAUUAAGGGUAAUGUCCCAAAAAAGCCCCAUGUUUAGGUGUCUCUUCCUCAGUAGGCCCUGACAUGGGGUCAUCUUCUCAAAGAAGCUCUUUGACUAUUUCAUAAUUUUUAGCCGGUCAAAGUUACCCUUGUAUUAUAUCCUCUAAAAUCAUCUUUUAUCUUCUAAAGUCAGUACAAGACAAAAAAACUCAGAAAAAGUCAAAAAACAGAAUAGGACAAAAAAACAAUUGGUGUAUAAAAUUAAAAUUUUAAAUGAGAUCCCACAUGACUAUAAAAUUUUAAAUUUAAAAAAUUAAAAUUUUAAAAAAAAUUCAAAUAUUCAUAAAAAUUCAAAAUUUCAUAUUUUUUUACUGAGAAGUUGGGUUUCGGAAAAAAAAAACUCUGUAUGAUUUCAUAAGGUUUUUCAAAAUUACUUUAAAAAUCUAAAAAAAUCACACAUUACUACCAAAUUCAGGAGUUUUUAUUUUUGUCCUCUUAAACAUGUUUUCUUAUCUUCUAACACCAAAGCAAUAUCCUCUAAAUUGUUGCUUGUUGUUCUAUAAAUUACAAAGACAUGAUAUCUAUUCCAUAUUAUUAAUAUAUGUGGAUUGUAGUCUGUAAUUUGAUGCAUGAGUUCAAUGUCUAGACUGAGGACAAAACCCUUGUAUUAACCAUAUUUGUGAGGUUGGUCAAUACAUUAAUGAAAGAUGGAUGUGUAAAUGAUAUGAACAAUAAUAAUAAAGUAGAUACAUGAACACCAUUGUAUACGUGGUUCGACAAUUAUGCCUACAUCCACGGAGAGGGAGAAAGAAGUUUAUUAUAGUAGUGGUGGUGAUACAAAAUGGGAGCUCGAUUAUGAGGAGAGCUCGAGAGAGAUGAGACCUGAGAGGUGAGGUCUCAUCAUGAGAGAUUGGGGAGGUCGUUGAUCAUGAGACCUCACCAUGAGAUCGUGUUGAGAGCAUUAGACUAUCAUCAGAUCAGAACAUGUGAGAAAAUGAGAACAUGUGAGAAGAUCAGAACAUGCCUAGAAUGAGUAGUUUGCCUUCAUAUUUAUAGGCUACAAUGUAACUCCAUUCUUAGCAUUUACUAGGGUAAUAAUGAGAGAAUAUCUUUAUAGUAAUUGGCUUUAACUUUGUAACUUGUGUCAUCAAGAGAGAGCCCAUUAGAUGUUGACAUGUGGCACCAUGAUGGACGGUAGAGAUGGUGCCACAUGUAUGUUGUAUAUAGUACCCCGACAUAAGCCCCCUCUUUUUAGGUUGAACGGGGUUCGGGCUGAAAAGAAGUAAUCGAACCGAUCUAGCCCCCAAGAUGAAUGAAAUAUGGGGUUCUUUAACGAAGUCGAUCCGCCCCAAAUUUUGAUGAGCUUGAUCAUUGAGAUUUGCAGGACGCGAUCAAGGUCCCUUGUGGUAAUGGCAACUCGAUCAUGAUUUUGUGUAUAGCGAGCUAGUUAGUUCCAGGGAGACCUGGUAGCUCGUUCAGAAGGCAUGUAGACGAGAUGGACAGCUGCAAGCAGGUCGUACUGAAGUGGGUCCUCUUGUAUGCUUGGGUGGUUGGUAUCGGUCAUGCUUGAAGGUGGUCGCAUUUGUGUGAUCGAAUUGCAUAGACCUGAUAAUGUUAGCAUGUGAAACAUUAUAAAAUUCAAUAAAAGACUUACAUGGAAUUGUACGUCUUCCUUAUGACUUGUAUGUACUAUCUUUGUCGCCUUGUGACUGGACACUUCGAUAGAUGUGGCACUUUGGAAUGCAAAUGUAACUCGUUUGAGAAAGAGCAUUGGUUGACCAAGUGUUUUGAGAGUUACUUGGAACGUUUUGAUGCCCGAUCUAGUCAAUGGUCGCAGCGUGGAGACCUGUUUGACAAUUCUCGGGCAUGUGGCCUUUGUGGGUCUGCAUUGCAUUUAGAGUGAAUGCGUUCGACCAGGCGUGUGGCUAGAGAAUUGUGGUUGAGGUCGUCCCGCAUACGAGUGACUCACUAGUCAAUGAGGGUGGACAUAUUUUAUAUCAAGCAUUUCACUUGUAAAGAGUUCAGUGAAAGCAAUGUGGCACAUUUGUGCAAAAAUAGCUCAUGGGGAGUGAGGUCGUGUUCAUGUGACCUGCACAUAGAGAGAGCUACAAAAAAUAUCAUUAAUAUGUAAUUGUGUCAAUAAUAAGUUAAAGGAAUUAGAUAAAGUGAGAAUAGCCCCCUAUAUGGCAUAAAUAUUCUUGAGGUCGUUGAAAGACCUGUAAUUUGAGGAGGUCGUUGAUAGACCUGGUGAGGUCCCAAUUAGAGACCUGAACAUGAAGUGAGGUCGCGACGAGACCUGAGUGUUGGAGAGGUCGCAACUAAAGACCUGAUGAGGUCGUGAUUAGGGACCUGGGGAGGUCGCGAUUAAGGACCUGGUGAGGUCGCGACGAGAUCUGAGAGGUCGUUGGCUUAGAGACCUGAAUGAAGUGAGGUCGCGUCGAGACCUGAGAGGUCGUUGGCUUAGAGACCUGAAUAAGAGGUCAGGUCGCGAUGAGACCUGAGCUCGUCUGCUUAGAGACCUGAAUAUGUGAGGAGGUCUCUGCAAGACCUGAACAUUUGGCCAUUAAGAAUGUAACUGAUAUAUAUAAUCAUGAUCGAGUUAUGAGAAUAUAUGUUACAUAGAUGCAUAUAAUAAUCAAUUUGUGUGAGACAAAAUAGAAUGAACAGUAAGAUCAUAGUGAAUUGAUACUUAUCUUGCUUUCGUCGAGUUUCACAUACAGUAAUGGUAACCGAAAGUAAACCCCCAAUUUGGAAAUUGUGAUUGCAAUUCUGCCAAAUAGAAUUUCUUGAACUUGAAAUCACCACUUUGAGAGCCUUACAACAAUGGUGUAAUGGUGGGGUUGGUGGGUGGAAUUCGCUUGAGAAAAUCCCAAGUAUUUGUAGUCGGCGCCUAAUGUAUUAACCAUAUUUGUGAGGUUGGUCAAUACAUUAAUGAAAGAUGAUGUGUAAAUGAUAUGAACAAUAAUAAUAAAGUAGAUACAUGAACACCAUUGUAUACGUGGUUCGACAAUUGUGCCUACAUCCACGGAGAGGGAGAAAGAAGUUUAUUAUAGUAGUGGUGGUGAUACAAAAUGGGAGCUCGAUUAUGAGGAGAGCUCGAGAGAGAUGAGACCUGAGAGGUGAGGUCUCAUCAUGAGAGAUUGGGGAGGUCGUUGAUCAUGAGACCUCACCAUGAGAUCGUGUUGAGAGCAUUAGACUAUCAUCAGAUCAGAACAUGUGAGAAGAUCAGAACAUGUGAGAAGAUCAGAACAUGCCUAGAAUGAGUAGCUUGCCUUCAUAUUUAUAGGCUACAAUGUAACUUCAUUCUUAGCAUUUACUAGGGUAAUAAUGAGAGAAUAUCUUUGUAGUAAUUGGCUUUAACUUUGUAACUUGUGUCAUCAAGAGAGAGCCCAUUAGAUGUUGACAUGUGGCACCAUGAUGGACGGUAGAGAUGGUGCCACAUGUAUGUUGUAUAUAGUACCCCUACAACCCUUAUAGUACAGACAAAAAGAAAAUUGUAUUGCCAUGAAAAAUUCAUAAAAACGUUUAAUGUACAGUUAACGUCACAAAAGACUAUAUACGUUUUUUAGGUUACAGUCCAAAGCAUAAGAAACAAGAGAGAGCAUAACCCAAUGUAAACAUAAAUCCCUCCUUUUGCCUGGUGUAUUGCAACAAAGUUCAUUAAAUUUGGACACCAUUCUUCCUUCUCAUCCUGACACCAAAACAAUUAAUAUAAUAUCUCACAUAUUUAACCAUUAUUAUUUUUUUCUUUUUUUGGCAAACGGGGUUGAAGGCACCUCUUAUCUCUUUAAAUUACGUGAGGAAACUUAUAUAAAACAAUCAGUUGCUGGCGUGUUUCGAAUCAACGACCUCUCCACUUUAUGAGAUGGAUGCAAUCGUUGAGCAACAAAUUCAUGUACUAUCUAACCAUCAUUGAAAAACUGAUAAUCUCCAUUUGUUUAAACACUCGUGCAUUCUUAUUUUUCCACAAAAUCCAAGUAAUAUGUAUAGAACCAUGAACAAUAUACUUUGAAACCAGCUUUAAUCCACCUCUCAACACUUUUCAAUAUAUAAUGUGAUUUAGUAAAAUUGCUUGUUAAGUGGAUACAAUAGCUUGUUUAGAGGAUAAAGCUAUAUUGUUUAGAGAACAACAAUCAAUGUUUUAGCGGACAAGACCCUUACAGUAUAUAGCGAAAAAAUUAUCGAAAAAAUAAAAAUUACAUGUGUUUUUUUUUUCAUACUCAUGUGAGAUCUUGUUAGAUAGAUCUCGUCGAGAUCUUUCCAACUAUAUACAUCAUAUUGAUUUUUGAUUUCUAAAUCAAAUAUACAAGUUAUAAAUAAUAUAGCAAAAAAAAAAUUUAAUUAAUAUUAAAAAAUAUGUUUUUGUCUCUUUCUUAUUUGUCUUAUAUUCUAAUUUUUCUCUUUUGUCUUUAGUAUAAAGGAUAUUUUAAUAAAAUAAAAUAAAAUAAAGUGGGGUAAGGGCUUGUUUGAGAAGAUGACCCCAUGUAAGGGCCUAUUGGGGAAGAGACACCUAAACAUGGGGCUUUAAUUUUUGGGGAUAUUACCCUUAAAUUAAUCAUAGUACCCAACUAUCCAUCACCUUGCACACAGACACUCAAUUGAAGAGUUGAUGCACAAAAAUUAAAGUAAUACUAUACAAUCUCAGAUAUUAGAGGAGGAAUUAUCUUCUAUAGUAACCACAAAAAAUUCUCAAAAUAUAGGCCAAAUAUGUUUUUUUUUUUUUUUUUAUUAUAAAGUAAGAAUAUUAUUGAACACCAUAGUACUCUUAAUACACUCCUGAUCAGCAUGCCUACCGCACCAUCAGGUCAAUCUUAGGAUCAACAAAUGAAAAUAAAAGAAACAGAAAUCUAAUUCAUUAGAAUAUAGGCCAAAUAUGUUAAUGGAGAAGUGGAUGGAACCUCCAUUUGAGGACUCUUUUUAGAGUCCUAUGUCAAUCAUAGGAUCACCUUAUGGGCUUGCUCGGGAAUGUUAAUUUGGAGGAGGAGGAAGAUACUUGGGAAACAACAUAAGAGUAAUGGACAGUUCACUAUGAAGUCAUGCUAUAAUCUAUAUUGUGCUAGCACACUGAGUUCGACCUCAAACUAUGAUUUCAUUUUCAUAUCCAUAUACGGUGGUCUAGGAACAAAAGAUUCCUACCACCUCAAAGUUCUUUAUUUGGAGCCUGUUAUGGGACAAAACUUUAACCAUGGACAAGCUGCAGAGCAAAGGGCAGUUCAUCACCAACAGAUGUGUGUUAUGCAUGGCAGACAAUGAGACUACGAAGCAUCUUUUUGAAACCGGCACUCGGUUAUUUGACAUUAAUUUUGUGACAUGAGGAGUCUCGGUCAUCUCGCCUUGAAAUCAUUGUUAGGAAAACCAAGAUGUACGCACGUUCGUCUCGUGUCUGUGUCCUUGCAUCUUAUGUCAAAGUCAAGUUUUGGGUAUUGGACGUACGUACCUAGUUAGGACGUACGUACGUCCAUUGAGGCAACAAACUUCUUUUGUGUGGGGACGUACGAACGUUGUUUCGACGUACGUACGUCCAAUGUGGAUUUCAGCAAUUCUGGCCCAUUUUCUGUGUAUUCCAACCUUAGGUAUAAAUAGGUUUUCUUCUCCAAUGAACAGGUUAGUUCUUCAGCCGUGCAAGUAAGGUGUUCUUGAGAGUUUGUGUGUUUCAUCGGUUAUUCAACUCAAUCCAUCUUCUUCCCAAUUCAUUAAUUCCCUAUACAGUUGUGAAUUCGGCUUCGAGUCUUCUUGUGUGUUCAUCAAGGAGUCGAGUGUCUUGUGCGUACAAGGUGCUCCGAUGAAGUCAAGGGGUUAGAGAUAACCUGAAGUAUCAGCUCGCAGUGAGUGCAGGUAGUUGAUAGGUUUGUAAAUCUCUUUCGUCUAGUGGAUUAUUUGUUGUCACAAAGGCAACCGUGGACGUUUUCCAAUUUGGGUUUUACCACGUUAAAAAUUCCUGUGUGUUAUUUACUUUCUGUUUAUUGUUUGAUUCGUUCAAUUAUUAAACUGUGAGAUUAGCACUAUCUGUGUUCUUCACUUUUUAUCUCAUGUGGUGUGGUUAAUGAGCUGUGGAAAUCUUUCAUUACAGUGUGCGGGCAGACUGCUGUUGAUUUUCAUUCUUUUUAGACUCUCGAACAACUACUAAAGGGAUGGCCUAGGAUCAGAAGCAGAUGCAUCAGUGAGAAGAUCUUGGCAAUUCCGCCAUAUGUCGUGCUCUAGUGCAUCUGGCAGACAAGAAAUGGGGUUGCACAAAACUGUACGUGGUGAUGGUGAAGUCUAUGAUUUGAGCAUGGCUUAACAUAGAGAAGGAAGGAAAUAACACUUGGCCCCUAGAAAUUUGGCAAUUUCGACGGCCAAAAAUAUAUUGGUAAAACAAAAAACCCUAAGUAGCGACGAUUCCACGCUCUUUGGGCUACCAAUCGACGCUGUUGCGACGACUUAAGACCCUCUCACAGCGGUCCUAGAUAAAACAAAAUAAAUGAAAAAUAAUUUAUAUUACAACGACGACAUAGUUUUACUUUGCGAUAGUCCAAGACCCUCACAAAGAUUGCAAGAUCCGCCGGCCGUCGCAAAUUUACUUUCAUAGCCGUCGCAAUUUAUCAGAUUUCUUGUAGUUGAACAAUUACUUUUAAAAUCAAUCUAUCAUAAAAAAUUUCCAUAAAUCAAUUUUCUCCAAGUAUAUUUUGAUUAUUUUCACUUUAAGCGAUUGAUAUUUUUUUUCCCAUUGUAGUAGAUAACCCAAAGUAUAUAAUACUGUAGCCACUAGCCAUAGCCCAUAUAUAUGGUCAUAUGGAUCAGAUUUUGCCGUUUCUCACUCCAUAGCCGUGCUAUAAGAGAAUUCCCAAUGCAGGGUGGAUAAAUCCACCUCCACGUAGGCGCCACGUAGGUCCACCUAAGCAAAAUCUACCUUGUUGAUUCAAGGUGAAACUCUACAAGGUGGAGAGUUCCCAAGGGAAGGUGGACUCUUGUAGAGAGAAAGUGGAUUUUUAGAAAAACCGGACGGCAUGUGACAUGCCGUCCCAUUUUUUUUUUGCAAAAAAAUAGGGAGACGGCAUGUGACAUGCCGUCCGAGAGUCCAAAACUUUUAAAACACUACGUAAACUUAAAAAAAAAAACAGACGGCAUGUAACAUGCCGUCCGGUUCUACCACCCAAAGGUGGAUUUGAAGGUGGAUUCAUCCACCUUCAAAUCCACCUGUGGGCAGCCACUUCUCAAAAUCCACCUCCCCUUGGGACAUUGUUUUAGGCUUCAAGGUGGAUUUAUCCACCCCACCCCCAAAAUCCACCUUGCAUUGGGAAUGCUCUAAAAGGAGAUACACAUGAAAACAUGUCAGAGAUCCAUUAGAAAUAAUGCAAAACAUGUUGGACCCAUCUGGAGUUCAUGCAUGAGUUAGUCCUUUGGAGUUUGGAUAUACAGUAUGUUGGAAGGGCCAUCUAUUGGAGUUCAUGACCCUAAGCAUGAGUCUUAGACAUGGAAAUGAAUCCAAAUUUACCAUCUUGUGAAUUAUAGUUUGUUUGAGGUUUAUAGGUUCUAAUUAAUUUUGUAUAGAUAUCAUGGUUUUAAUAAGCCAAUUUCUAAAAUUGAAGUGAUACCAACCAAUAAUAACCAUGUUAUAGUUUUAAGUUAACAGUGUAUAAAUUGUGUUCUUGUCAUGAUGCAUUGUUUAGUUUGAGUAGCCUACAGGUACAGUAACAGUGUAACACACUGGCACUGCCAAGAAAAGUUAAGGUUUAGUUUGUAAGUUCAAUAUCUCAAGGUAUUAACUCUCACUCACUCUCAGUUCAUACAAGCAAGCCAAUAACAAAAAUAAGGCCAAUUGAACAUGCUAAUCAGGUUAUCAGUUGAGCUAAGGCAAUUAUUUGUUCUUAUUUCAAGAUAGGUGUGCAUAUACAAUUGGGAGGAUAAACUUGUACCGAUUCGACUGAUCACUUGAGCCAAACUAGAAUUUUCGUUGAGUCACAAUUUCUCCUAUAUCUCAAUAUUAUUUGUAAAAAUGGGUAAAACCUCUGGGUGAUGAUACCAGAGGUCUGGGGUUCGAAUCCUGCCAGUAUUACCGAGUUACUGAUCUCAUUAAAAACAGGCUUACCAAACCAUUUUUUUAUUUUUUAUUUAUAAAAUUUGAGAAUUAACACUUCAAUAUCAUACCAAACUAUUACUUGAUAAAACUUAAUUGACCAAGAAAUGUUUCUCUUCUCACUGAUAAACCUUAUAUAGUAGGCAUGAAUAUUGUGUUUUAUUGUGGGCAAAAAUAUCCAAUAAACCUUAUAUAGUAGGCAUGUAUAUUGUGUUUUAAUUGUGGGCAAAAAUAUCCAUUCUUCAGCAAUUCAUUUUACGAUCCAAUCUGUGUUGGAAAUGUUUUUGAGUGGUCAAAACAUUUGUAUAUAAAUGAGAAAUUGAAGUCCCAAGUUAACCACUGGCCAUUGCUAACUUGUGUUAUAAUAGAUGAAUGGGUAUGUAUUCACAUACAUUGUAUUUGGCCCAACCCAUCCCAAUGAGUGUGUCUUUUCUCAAUAGACACAUACUUUGUAGACACUCAUUCUAAUGGGUGUGUCUGUUCCCAAAUUGGGUCAUAGUGUCUAUUCAAAUAUACAUUGAAUAGACAUAUGCCUGUUGAAAAUGUGUCUUUCUACUAUAUAAGGGUGUCUUGUGUUUGUAUCAAAUCACUUUUUCAAUCAUUUGUUUUUCCAUCUUCUGUGUCUUAUCAUGAGAGAGUAUAACAAUGAAUUGGUUCGCCGUCUUCUAUGCGUUUAAAGUGCUGCUACGCUAAGAAGGAUAGAUCGUUGUAUCCUAGGAGAUAGUCCGCCAUUGAUAAACCGUUCGGCACAUGUACGGGGCGAAUAAUGUCUUAAGGAGAGAGAUUUUAUCUCGACUCGAUUUAAAUCUUGUCCUUCAUCCAUUUAUUCUGGUUUGCAUCAUCUAUUCCCUUUUUAUUUAUUUUAGAACAGUAAUAUAUCGGUAUAUAUUUUCCUACAAUCUGUUGACCCAGUAAAUAUGUUUCCCCACUCCACUAGUACCUAACUUCCAUUUAAAAUAAUAAUUCAGCAUUCAGGAACGAUCAGAUCCAUCUCUUCAGCAAGUCAUUUUGCGAUACAAUAUGUUAAUCAAUUAAAAACAUUUUUCUUCAACCUAACAUGGCCAUUGGAAGAAUAAAUCUGCAUUAUAUUCAUCACCCCUGCCCAAGGUAUGAAACGCAUUUUUUUUUCAGGAUGAACAUAUCCAUCUUUUUAGCAAGUCGCUUUGCGAUCCAAUCUGUUAAUCCAUUAAAAAUGUAUUCUAUACCUAACAUUGCCAUAAAUCAAUGCAUUAGAAAAAUAAAUCUACAUCUAGGUAUCCUAUCACUACCUCCCAAGGUAAGGUAUGAAACAUAUUUUUUUCACAAAGACUUUAAAUAAAAACAUUGUCUAUUACAAAAAUCCAAUUCUCAAUCCAUAAUCAUGGUAGGUAACAUGUUAGGUGAGUCAGGAAGGCAAGUUGGUCUACUUACAUCUAAGCAGAUUAUUAUAUCUCAAUUGGCAUAUUUUAAUCAACUUAUCACAUCGUAAAGUUGCUUAAGGCUAUAAAUCACAGAGAAACACAUCAAAGUGGAUAUAAGUUUUGAAAGUUUCUCUUUCUGUUAAUCCUAUUCAUUCUGUAUUUGUGUUCUUCAUUUCCUGAUUACUAUGGCAGAAGCGUUGAUUUCUGUUGUUUUAGAGCAAUUGGGAACCAUUGCCAUAAGUGAACUUGUCAAAGAGGUCGAGUUGCUAGCUGGUGUUGACGAAGAAGUUGAAAGCCUCAUUGGUACGCUAACUCUGAUCCAAGGAGUCCUUGAGGACGCAGAGCAGAAGCAAGUGACCAAUAAAGCAGUGAAGUUUUGGUUGGACAAAAUCAAAAAAAUCUCCUAUGAUGCCGAAGAUGUGUUGGAUGAGUGGAACACUAGAAUUCUUAUUUCCAAACUGCUGCAGCCUGAUGUGAAUGCACCAGUUAAGGAAAAGGUGCGAUCCCACUUGUUCAACUUUUUUUGUUGUGCUAAACCUAUUGUCAUACGCCAUGCUAUUGGUGUUGAGAUAAGGGAAUUAAAUGAGCAACUAGAGGGGCUUGCUAAAAAGAAGGACAUGUUCAAUCUCACCGAAAUUCGAAGUCAAAGGGAAAGUCGACAAAUGACUAGCUCUAUUGUUGAUGUUUCUGACAUAUAUGGUCGUCGUGUUGAUAAGCAAGUUAUCAUGAGCAAGUUAAUGGGUGAAGCUAGUCAUCAUGACUCGAAGGUCCCAGUCAUCUCAAUAGUCGGCACUGGAGGUUUUGGGAAAACAACUCUUGCGCAACUGAUCCUAAAGGAAGAAGAGGUGAUUAACCACUUUGAGAAGCAAAUAUGGGUUUGUGUAUCUGAUCCUUUUGAUCAUCAGGAGGUUGCAAAAGAAAUUAUUAAACAAGCUACGGGCAAAGUCAUCGAUAGUGUUGGGUGGGAAACUCUACACAGGAGCUUAUCUGAGUCUAUCCAAGGAAAGCGGUUUGUCCUCGUACUUGAUGAUGUUUGGUCACUUAAUGGCGAAAUUUGGAAGCAAUUGAAGACUUCCUUCGAUGGUGGUGCAAUUGGAAGUCGAAUCAUAAUCACGACACGGGAUGAGACAAUAGCAGAGCGUAUGGGCUCUACUUUUAUACAUCGGCUGGGGCAAUUGUCAGAUGGCGAUUCUUGGUUAAUGUUUAGACGUAUAGCCUUCUGGCAAAGGGAAGAUGAUCUUGAGAAUUUUCAAGGUAUUGCGGUGGAUAUCGCACAAAGAUGCAGAGGCGUUCCUCUUUCAAUCAGGGUUUUAGCAAGUCUCAUGAGGCUGAAGAAAACUAUCCAAGACUGGCGAAAUGUGCAGGCAAGUAAUAUUUGGAAUGUCCAAUUCCAAGAGGGAGAAGAGGGUUUUUUACCGUCAAUAUUAUUCAGUUAUUAUGCCUUACCUGCAAAACUAAAGCCGUGUCUUGUGUAUUGUGCAAUCUUACCAAAAGAUUCAAGAAUUGAAAAGAAGGAAAUGGUAGAAUUAUGGAUGGCACAAGGGUUUCUUGGUUCAGAUGGGAGGAAGGAUUUGGAGAUUGAAGGUGGACAUUAUUUUGAUAAUUUGGCGAUGCGCUCUUUCUUCCAAGACUUCAAAGAAGAUUCCAAAGGUAACAUUACUAGUUGCAAGAUGCACGAUCUUGUGCAUGAUUUUGUGCAGUUUCUUAGUAAAGGUGAAACUUGUAUUUUAUUUAAGGAUGAAGAACUUGAAAAUGUCAAUGUCCGUCAUUUGACCACUUUCGCUUCCGAUAAGCCAUCCAUUUAUGAGCUAAAGAAGUUACGAACGCUAAGAUCUGGUGGAUAUAUUCGAAACAAGAUCACAUGUCUUGGAUUGAUACAUCAACUGACAUCCCUUCGAGUAUUGGAUCUGUGUAACAGUGACGUUGAAGAAUUUCCAAGCGAGGUAGCAAGAUUGUUACAUCUAAGGUACUUGGAUUUGUCUAACACGAAGUUGAAGGAACUGCCUGAAACCAUAUGCAAUUUAUUUAAUUUGCAAACCCUGAAACUAGAGUAUUGUGAGAAGCUAGUUAAACUCCCCAAAGGAAUUGGAAAGUUGUGUAGUUUACGACAUUUAAUGAUUAAAGGCACUAGAAGUUUAACAUAUCUUCCAGCAGAAUUAGGGAAAUUGUGUUGUCUUCGAACACUAGACAAAUUCAUUAUUGGUGGUGGGGAUGAGAUUGAAGGAGAAGGGUGUAAUAUCAGAAAAUUGGGGCUUCUUAACAAUCUCCACGGAAAGUUACAGAUAAGUAACUUGGGUCAAGUGGCGAAUGCAAAUGAGGCUAAAGAGGCAAACCUAGAAAAGAAAAAAACCCUCCAAUCCUUGAUUUUGUCUUUCAGAACUUUAGAAGCAGCAACACAACAACUAAGUAUGGCAAUUUAUGAUGAUGUGGGAAUUCUGGAAGGUUUCGUACCGGAUACAAAUUUGGAAGAAUUGACAGUAGAGUUUUAUAAAGGGACCAAAUUGCCAGAUUGGAUAUUGUUAUCUCAUUUGGUCAAGUUAAAAUUACACUAUCUCAUAUCAUUAUUGCAAUUGCCUGCUUUAGGGAAGUUACCUUUCCUUGAAAUUCUUGAAUUGCACACUUUGUGGUCUGUGGAACACAUUGGUGAAGAAUUUUAUGGGCUUAGUAGUUGUGGUGGUGGUGGCGGAAGAGAUUCGGUGCAACAUCAAAUUGUUUUUCCAAAAUUGAAGAAACUGGAAUUUAUUGGUUUGCAAAAUUUGGAGGAAUGGGAUUUGCCAUACCAAAAUGAUACUAAUAAGAUAGACUUCUUUCCAAACCUCGUUGAAUUAGAAAUUUCACGGUGCCAUAGAUUGCAAGCAUUACCACCAGGUCUUGGAAAGCUAAAAUCUCUAAAGUUCCUUAAAUUGAGUUGGAUGGAUGGAUUGAAAAGCUUCUUGAGUAUAAAUGAUAGAAAGGGAGAUAAUGUGGAAAAGGAGGACAAUGGAGAAUUCGUCAAACCACCAGUUGUUUUAUUCCCUGCUCUAACGUCUCUUCAAUUGGAAUAUAUGAGGGAGUGGGAAGAGGAAACGAUUCCAGAUUUAUCUUCAACCGCAAGUAUUACCAUCAUGCCCUGUCUCAGUGAAUUGAAGAUCGGUUAUUGCGAAAUGCUAAAGGUUAUUCCUUUAUACAUGCUCUCUCCGGUAUUAAAGGAUUUAGAAAUAAACUUCUGCCCACAAUUGACACGAUUGCCAUCAUGCCUUCCUCCCCUUCUCGAGAAACUGAAAUUUGGGUUUUGCAAAUUCCUCGAUUUUAUGCCUGAUGAUUUGAAUCAUCUCACCAAGCUUCAAACAUUGAGGAUCAUUGAUUGUCCUAUUUUGGCUCAACGUUUCAAACGAACAGAAGAAAUCUCUUACAAGAUCGAAAUAGGUACAUCUUUCACAAACCACUUUCUUUCUCAUGGAUUUCCAUUUAUUUUUCUUCAAGAACCCCAAUCUAUUGGAUGUUUGUCUGCACUUCUAUUGCUACUGUCAUUAACUAACCCCAAUCUAUUGUCAGACGUUGGUGUGCAUUUUGGAAUUAGCUGUGAUAAUUGUCAGGUAACUUCCUAAUUUCAUGUUAGGGUGAUACAAAUGUGAUAAUUGUCAGGUAACAUCCUUCUUGUAAUUUCAUGUUAGGGUUUAUAUUGUCAGACGUUGGUGUGCAUCUUGUAUUCUUGUUUCGCUGAUUUAUAUGGGUUUGCACUUUAAUGAUGAUGAUUAGACAAGAUUCUGUCAAAGUUUUCGUUCAUGCAGUACUUUCCUCUUAGUAAACUGUUUAUUCUUUAAUCAUGCUCUUACCAUUUAAAUGGAUCUCUACAGAUGGUUCCAAUAGUCGGAAAGCGAUACAAAUGCAAGGACUGUUACAAUGGGAGAGCCAGAGGUUUUGAUUUGUGUGAAGAGUGUUAUACUACUCCCUCCGAGCAUACAGAUCUUGUCAAUCAGCAUCACACUCAAGGGCAUACAUUUGAGCUUAUUGCAAACGAUGAAGACAAUCCAGUUCAAGUACAUCCAGACGACCCUUCUGAGGUCGUCGAAGGUGGUUUUGUGGUUACAAAAUCGGCUGAAAUUGAAGAGUUGAACAAAGCAUGAGUUUAAGCUAGUUGAUAAGUACGUACGAGCAAGUGGCCAAGUUUAUUGAGGUCAGUACUGAUCACACUCUUAUUAAAGUUCUUUCAUUGUGGUUUCUUAUGAGGUUACAGAGCAUCUGGAGAUCCAGGGUAUUCUUUUUCAUAAAUUCUGUGGCGCACUUCUCAAUUAAAGUAUCAUAAACUGCAUGAAUUGUUAGCACGGAUAUUUAUGGUAUCGUUUUUAUGUUUGUUAUGAAGAAGAUUUGUGAUUUUUUCGGUGGACAGAAUAAUAGAUCGAAUUAUAGCUGGAAGGUUGCAACAUCUGAAGAAGCAUUCUAUUAGUACUGGUAUAGAUGCAACCAUUGUUCUUGGAUUUCUAUUUAUUUUUCUUGUUUCUUCUGGAAGAUCUUCCAUUUUUUUUUUCUGCUUUGUUCCCUUUGCGGCGGAAAUUGUCAAAAUAUGGUGAACUACAACGUGCUACUGUCAUAACUAGCCCCAAUCUACUGAAGAAAUUUCUAUUACUCUUCUGUGAAAUUCCUAAUCUCAAAGCAAUUUAAUGAUGAUAAGACGAGUUUGUCAAAAAUUUGACAGUAAGCAAAUAUGAAUUUUUUUUGAUGAUUUAAUUUUCUAAAGUUUUUUUGAUGAAUUUUCUUUGUACAUUUAUUCUUUGGUCAUGCUCUUACCGCCAAAAUGAAACUCAGCAGAUGAAUCCCUAUAGUUGGGAAGCGAUACAAGUGCAAAGACUGUCAUGAUGAUGGUGUUGCUGCCACUAGAGGCACAGAUCUUCUCAAUCGACAUCACAGACAAGGCCAUACAUUUGAGCUAGUGAAUAAGUACAUACGGGUGAGCGGUCAAGCAUGUUGAGGUUGGUACUGAUCACUCUUCUUGAAGUUUUUUCCCGGUGGUUUCUUACGAGGCUGCAGAGAAACUAGAGAUCCAGGGUAUUCUUUCUCAUAAAUUCUCGGGCACACUUCUGAAUCUUUUUUACUUCCAAUGAAGUAGCUUUUUCAAUAGCUCUUUGACUCUUUCAUCGUCUCCCUUUGACAUUCCAUCAUUUGCUACAGGAUUGUUCUGAUUAUAAGUGACCGUUUGGGGUUGAUGUUAUUCUGGCAGUUCCUGAUCAAGAAAGGGAUUUCAGAUUAUCUGGGGUGACUACCAAAAGUAGCUAGUACUUCAAGCUCACCAAGAUGGUGUCAAGGUUAUUCACCAAGUGAGUGAAAUCUUUACACUGGAGCACUUCUAAUAUGCUGGAAUCUUACAUAAUCUAGAGAGAACCAACUACCAGUAACCUUGCAGGCUUGCACCUCAUUCACUCAAAUGUCUUACAUUGAGGGUUCGAAGUUCGAACAUUUGAAGUAGCUGAGAAUUUUAUUACUCAUUCAUGCUGGUAGAGAUCACUGUCCAAGGACUCAAAGCUGGGGAGGUAUGUCAUUCGAUUCGACAGGAUUUUUUUCUUUCAAGCAAACGCCUUUCAUUAUACAGUUGCCUGCCCCAAAAUUGACCUCUGCUAAUAUUUUGAAAGGAUCGUAGCAACUGUGUCACGAAGUUACUUGUUUCUCCCAAACCACCAAUUAAGACACCUUUCAGUUCAGUGCUUCCGUUUGUAGAAACAGCUAUCCGUCCAGCAACACCUAGAUUUCCUCGCGCUGCACUAUUGGUACUCAUCUUCAUGACACACGUUGGAAAAAAUCUCCAAUAGCAUUUUGUUGUCCUUGCUUGCGUUUUAAGACUCUUGUUUCCAGCUUAAAGUUGUGAAGUAUUGGCCAGUGUUGUUCAUAGCAUCUAGCACUUUACGCAAGCUAUCCUGAUUUCUGUCAAGCAUAUUGAGGUCAGUACUGAUCACUCUUAUUUAAGUUCUUUCCCAGUGGUUUCUUAUGAGGCGUACUUGUGCUUUUUUUUUCUUAUCAAUAAAAGUAGCUUUUUCAUUAGCUCUUUGACUCUUUCAUUGUCACUAUUUGACAUUCCACCAUUUAUUACAGGAUUGUUGAUCGGGAUGAUAAGAGAACUAAUAAGGAAGGCAAGAGCCUUGACUGAUGGUUUGGGGUUGAUGUUAUUCUGGCAGUUCCUGAUCAAGAUUGGGUUAAUUCUCAGGUUAUCUGGGGUGACUACUAAAAAAAACUAGUACUUAAAGCUCACCAAGCUGGUGUCAAGGUUGUUCACCAAGUGAGUGCGCUUUGUACUCUCAACCACGAAUACGAAUAAUAUGCUGGAAAUCUUACAUGAUCUAGAGAUAUCCAACUACCAGGCACCUUGCAGGCUUGCACCUCAUUCACUCUGUUGUAUUACAUGGAGGGUUGGAACAUUUGAAGUAGCUGAGAAUGUUAUUACUCAUCAAUGCUGGGGUAACGCAAAUUUCGACUUUCAAUUGGGGGGUAAGUGCCAAAAUCUCAAAAAAAAGAAUGAAGACUUUUCUUCACUCAGUUGUUUGCCAAAAAAAUAAUCUCUUAUUUGUUAGGUAUAAGGAUCACCCAUACUUCCAUUCUUUUACCUCUGCCAAUGUUUUGAGAUGGUCUCAUAGCCGGCAGUGUCUUGAUUGCCUCAUGCUGCACUCUCAAUAUUUUUGAAGUCCUUGCUUAUGUUUUGAUUGCACUGCUUAUAUAUAUAUAUAUAUAUAUAUAUAUCUGUUAAAAUAUGUAGUUCUAUGAAGGUUGUAAUUUUCUGUUAAUUUAAUUCUUUUGUUGGAUUUCUGUGAUCAUUUUGCUGCUCUGACCCUAGGGCCCAAUUUUGUCAAAGAUGGCUAGUGGCUACAUCAAAUCCAUGACAUUUUUAGAAUCUUUAAAAUUGUUUUGGAACUUCCAUUAGAAAUUCUUGAAAACUUUCGGACAUUAGUAGAAUAGUAGAUUACAUUAGCACUUAGCAUUGGUUGCGGGGUGCCAAGCUGCAAGUUGGUGCCAUCAUUCAAAUUAAAAUGUCAAGAUAGAGGACUGACAUGCUUGUAACACCAACUUUCUCAUUAGUAAACAUCGAUUCAAUUUUCACUUUUCAUACUGUCAUUAUUUGGAAGCCUCGAUCAAAUUGAUAGAACACUUACAAGAGUAUUUUUUGAACUAUCAUUUACGUGCACUUACUAGAAUCUUUGUCUGAAUAUUUACAGUAUUUAUUUAGUUUUGUAUUUGUUAUAAAGAAGAUUGAUGGUAAUGUUUUUCAGGUGCAUUUUAUAUUAUAUUGAAUUACACUUAAAACAGAUUGACAAUGUAACAGUGCAUAAACCAUAAUCCAAUAUUUGACUAAAGUGUCCCUAAUUAACACAGAUAGCCUAGGAAUCUUGUGGAAACAUUGAUGCUAUUUCUCCAUCCAUAAUUUCCAAUAAUUUGUAUUUUCGCUGAUCAUAGUAGGAAGAACAUGUAAACUAUUGUUGAGAAUUUUUCAAUUUUGCAUUCAUAAACUAAUACUGUUGAUUGUGUUCUUUGCAGUGAAUAAACUUCCGUAAUCACUUCUAGUGACAGAGCUCAGAUCGGUCAUCCAAACCUGAACUGCAAGCACAUAUAUGGUUCUCACACUCUGCCACUUCAUUACAUCAUUACAGCACUAUUAGGGAGAAAAGUUCGGUGGUUUCCUAUCUAUGCUGUCGAGAUCUAGCAUUGUGUUAUUUUCGGAACUUUAUGCUGUGUAAGUAACAUUAUUGACUGGCUGGUAUACCAUUUUCCAUUAUUUACUUCAUUACAUCUACCUUGUUGUAGCAUUUGCUCUUUGGUUCUUGUAAUCACUCUUGAUGUCUUCCAUACUCAACAUCUCAAUUCAGGUCUGUGGUGCUUCAAAAAUCUUAUAUAAUCUUCUUUUCUAGCAUCUGGAGUGGUAUGCUCGCUUAUCAAUCAUAAAUAUCUGUAACCUGCUGACAAGAAGAUUGUGUUUUCAAGUUUCUCCAGUUGUUUUUCUUGAUUAUAAUCAUCAGUAACCAGUUGGAGACUAAUUCAUGAAGGCGGUUGAUGUUUAUCCGCCUUUCUAAUCAUUGGAAAAUGGCGGUUGACACAUUAUAUUAGUAUAGCUAUAUUUUCAUUUUUUUCAAAUUUGAAAAACGGAUUUGAGAAAAUACCAAAAAAUAAAUAAAAAUAUAUGACAACAUAGUAACCCGUUGGAGACUAAAUUGGCGACUUUUUGAGAAAAUAGCAACCCGUUGAAGAUGAGUUCGGCUUUGUUGCACAAUGCACACACUUAAAAGAGUGUGUAUGCUAACCUCCCACCACAUGAGAACACGUGGCAUUCAUAAUAUUUUUUUUUUUUUUUUUAAGAUAUUUUUUAGAAUAUCCGAGAUGGUGGAUAAAUAAAACACCUAAACAUUGGGUGUUGUUAACCCUAGUGGGGCAUAAAAAAAUUUCUUAAAUUUUUUUUGCUUAACACUCUCAACGAGUUUGGCUUUGUCGCACACACUAGACCUGCAAAUUGGGUCGGGUCAGGCUAACUCGACCCUCAAGCAUUAAAGCCCUCACAUCAAAAGGGGUCGGAUCAUCCCGACCCUUAGAACUAAAGAGGGUCGGGUUAGGAGGGCUAACACAAAGAAUCGUGUGACCCUCACCCGUUCUUGAGCCUUAUGUUAAAAGGUCUAUAGGGUCGCGUCAUAGGGUCGUGCUUUUUUUAUAACAUAUGUAUUUAAAAAAUAUAUAUAUUCACUAUAUAUAUUACCACAAAUUUUGAUACAAUAUUAAUAUAAAGUUGAUAACAUAACAUAUACAUAAUAGAAAAAUGACAUGUAUGUUUUAUAAAGCCUUUUAUUAUUAUAACUAAUAUAAAAAUGUAUAUAAAUUAUAAAUUUGCAAAAAAAAAAUAAGAAAUAUACCUUAUUAUUAAUGAGGGCCAUAAGAGGGCUUUGGAGGGCUUAAUUAGGGUCGGGUUAAGGGCCGGGUUUAUGUUUUUAGAGAUAGACCCUGACCCUACCCUCAAAUGUUUGAGGGCUGACUAAAAUCUAUGAGGGCCGACUUUUGAAGGCUUUCGUCAAAAAUGGGCCAGGCGGGUUUAGGGUUGAAGGGCCAUUUUUGCAGGCCUAGCACACACUCAAAAAGAAAAUUCAUAAAAAAAUUUCGUAACACGGAGGGAGGCAGAGAUCUUAAGGUAGCAAUUCGAAAACAAAAUACAUUCUUAAACCCAGCUUCGUAUUGGCGAAACUAAUUAAUUAUAUCGGUGGCGUUCUGCUGACAAACAACACAGUUAUGCAUGUUGAAUAUACAAUAACUUUUUUGUAGAACUGUAUUGAGUUAUUUAUAUUUCUUCGACAAACUGUUGUUAAACUUAUCCAAUUUAGUGGUUUUCAAAGAUUAAGCCAAGAUUAAUUAGUCAAAUACAUAUAAUUUUAGGUGAAAUUGAGGAUUUCUAAUUUAAGGGGUUGUAAUUGUCAAAUUGAAUGAUUAAAAAUGUUCCAAUAUAACACAUAUUAUUUUAGGUAAAAUUAUGAAUAUCCAAUUUUGGGGUUUUCAAAAGUUAAUUAAUCAAUUAAUGUAAUACAUAUAAUUUUAGGUGAAAUUGGAGAUUUCAAAUUUAAGGGGUUAUAAUUGUAAAAUUGAGUGAUAAAAAAUGUUCACUAUAACACAUAUUAUCUUGGAUUAAAUUAUAAAGUUCCAAUUUUGGAGUUUUUAAAGGUUAAUUAGUCAAUUAAUGUAAUACAUAUAAUUUUAGGUGAAAUUGAGGAUUUCUAAUUUAAAGGGUUAUAAUUGUAAAAUUGGGUGAUUAAAAAUAAUGGCAAACCUCUACUAAAAAGUUGUCUAAAAACAGUAUUUUGCUACCCACAAAAUAAAUAUUUAACGACGAAAGGAUACCGUCAUUUGAUUAUAUCCAUCCCCAUGCCACCUUUAGAUCCAUCCAUGUUAAUAAUUGCAAACAAAAUAAGCGGCCUAUUAUACAGUACUGUAUAUAUCAUUAUAUUGUAUUAUUGCCAUUAUCCCAAGACAACAAAUAUAUAGUUGAUCUCUUCAUGUAGUUUACAUGAUAUAGCUACCAAUGUUUAUGCAAAAUUAACUUUUUACACACGAAUACAAAAAGAUUACAUGCAUUAAAAAAAAAAAAUAUAGGAAUAGUGAACAAAAGACAUUGUAGCAUUCCUAAUCUAUAUAAUAUUAUAAGGCGGUCUCAUAAACACAGCCGUUAGAUGUCUAUUCAGACAACUAUAACCAUCAGAUUAGAAUAAUUUAUAUAAUCGAUGUAAUAAGUUGUAAUAAUAACCCUUAGAUGUCCAAAAUUCGAUCUUAACCAUUAGUUGUCUAUUGAGACAAUCAUAGCCAUAGGAUUAAGAGUUUUAAUUGCUAUCACAUUAAAUUUCAGAAAUAUAACCUAUAGAUUAAUUAAUAAUACUAAAUAACCAAUAUUUAUAAGACAUGGACAAUUAAAACCAUUGUAAAUUCAUUUUUAAAAUAAUAAUGAAAAUAUUGAAACCAAUGAAUCUUUGGUGUAUAUAAGGAUUUAGAUGUUCAAAAUUCGAUCUUAACCGUUAGUUGUCUAUUGAGAGAAUCAUAGCCAUAGGAUUAAGAGUCUUAAUUGCUAACACAUUAUCCUAUGGAUUAAUUAAGGCUUCAGAUUUUACCAAGGAAAAAAAUAUUUUUGCCAAUGAUUAAUUCUUGGUAUUACAUAAUUGCCCUCAAUUAGUUUAAUUUAAAAUUUGACUAUUUAGUAUUCACCAAAUCUUGGAGAAAUCUAUUAAUGCUUUACCCAUAUAAGGAUAAUACAAAAAUUUUGUAAUUAAAUUUUUUAUUUUAAAUCUCAAAUUUUGGAUUUAUAUUUAUUUAAAAUACUUAAAAAAUAGAUUUUAUGUAAAAGUUUAAUAAAUAGAAAAUGAAAAAAGAUUCACUUUCAUUAUUGAUUGGUUUAAUCAAAAUUUUGAUAUGUAAUUGGGAAAGAAGAAUCAAACAAUUUUAGUGAAUCACGAGAUUUGAUUUAACAGAUAUUUUGAUUUUUAAUAAUCUAAAUUCUAAAAAAUGAAAAGUGGUUUUUGAACAACAAUUGUCAUAUUUAUGGUAACACAAUUGAAGGCAAUUGUAUCAUAUCAAAAAAUUAUCAUUGGCAAGAUUAAUUUAAUUGAACUCACUAAAUUGCAAAUGCUUACUUACAUAUCAUUGGCAAGAUUAGUUUAAUUAAAAUUUUAUAAUUAAAUUUUUUAUUUUAAAUCUCCAAUUUUGGAUUUAUAUUUAUUUAAAAUACAUAAAAAAUAGUUUUUAUGUAAAAAUUUAAUAAAUAGAAAAUGAAAAAAGAUUCACUUUCAUUAUUGAUUGGUGUAAUCAAAAUUUUGAUAUGUAAUUAGGAAGAGAAGAAUCAAACAAUUUUAGUGAAUCAAGAGAUUUGAUUUAACAGAUAUUUUGAUUUUUAAGAAUUUAAAUUCUAAAAAAUAAAAAGUUGUUUUUGAACAACAAUUGUCAUAUUUAUGGUAAAACAAUUGAAGGCAAUUGUGUCAUAUCAAAAAGUUAUCAUUGGCAAGAUUAAUUUAAUUGAACUCACUAAAUUGUAAAUUUUAACUUACAUAUUGGCAAGAUUAAUUUAAUUAAAAUUUUGUAAUUAAAUUUUUUUAUUUUAAAUCUCCAAUUUUGGAUUUUAUAUUUAUUCAAAAUACUUAAAAAAUAGUUUUUGAUGUAAAAGUUUAAUUAAUAGAAAAUGAAAAAAGAUUCACUUUCAUUAUUGAUUGGUUUAAUCAAAAUUUUGAUAUGUAAUUGGGACGAGAAGAAUCAAACAAUUUUAGUGAAUCAAGAAAUUUGAUUUAGAUAUUUUGAUUUUUAAGAAUCCAAAUUCUAAAAAAUGGAAAGUGAUUUUUAAACAACAAUUGUCAUAUUUAUGGUAAAACAAUUGAGGGCGAUUAUGUCAUAUUAAAAAAUUAUCAUUGGAAAGAUUAAUUUAAUUGAACUCACUAAAUUGUAAAUGCUUACUUAUAAUUACAACUAAAUACUCUGAAACUAUUGUUGUAGGUUAUUUGAACUUUCUUGCAAUAAUAGUGUUGACUAAAUAAGAUAAAAUCCAACAAUAUCUAGAUGCAGGGUAUAAUGGACCUCUGGAAGCAGUUUCGCGCUUAUUGAAAAUAUACUACCUACAGAGAGACCGAAAGUGCAACGAUUACACCUCCAUCUUAUUGGAAUGCACCAUAUUCUUUUAAAUCCUAAUGAAUCAAGGAAAACUAUUUUGAAAAGGGCUCGAAAUAAGAAACCUACUUUAACUGCCAUUUUUUUAUUGUUGUGCUGCAGAUGCUUAUGCAAGGGAACUAACAUAUCAAGAGUUCUCUCAACAUUAUGUCUAGAACAAUGAAGAUUCUAAGCGGACAAGAAAGAAACAUAGUUUUGCCAUUGGUAGAAUGUAUUUUCCAAGUCCCAAUUUAAGUGAAAAAUUCUAUUUGUGGUUGUUGGUUACGAUUGUUAAAGGGUCUUGCACUUUUAAUGAUCUUAAAAUAUAUGGCAAUUAUUUAUUUAAUACGUUUAAAAAAGCAUGUGUUGCACGUGGUCUGCUUGAGGAUGGUCAAGGAUACGUAGAAUGUUUAGAAGAGAUUACGGUUAUGGAAACGUUACAUGUUCAAAUUUUCCCCCGAUUGUAGGAAAAUAACACAAGCAUUAAAGCUUAAGAUUGCAUAAGGAGCGUUGAGAAUGAGAUCCAAGUCUCUACUGAGUACAUUAUGCCACUAUUUUUCAUUCCUCCUAUAUAGUGGUUGGUAGUGAGACCACUGCCAAACUCUUGGUCACAAAAAUUGGUUGUGAAUGGAGCUGGUAUUGUUCUAUAUUAUCUCUUAGUAAUGGUUGUCACAUCUAUGUCUACUGUUUUGGUAAAUAAAUACUCAAUAUAUUUCAAUUAAUCAAGGGAAAGAUACUAUCGCUACAAAAAAAAUUAGUUAUUCUACCUGGUAGUAGUUUUCCAUGUUUUGCACUGUAAUUCAAACAAUGGGUCUUGGGGAGAGAAAAUGACAAUUGUAAUAAAUUUCAAAGUAUUAUGAUUUGCAAAGAGAUAUUCAAAACGUGUACUUAAAUGGUUACACACCAUUCUCCACCCCUCCAUAUGUUCUUCUAUGUGUUAAGAACUCAAACCACAAAAAAAAAAAAAAAAAAAAAAAAAAAAGAAAAGAAAUACACAACUAAAAUGGAUGCUACCUAUAACUCCUAAAAGAAAGAAAAUAGCUAGAGAAAAAUUCUCAUAUGUUUUAAUAUUUGCCUGCAAUCAAAGGUGGAGUGAAAUAAAUACAGAUUUGAAGCAAUUGAAUGACAUUGGUAAAGUUCUAUAUAUAUGUAAUAUAUGCAACUAUUAUAUCCAAAAGCUGAUUAGGAAAAAAAAACUAAAGCCAAACGUGCUAUUGUUAUUCUUGGUCAAAGUAAAAGAUAUAUCAACUACAAUAAACACAAAAGUAAAUUAGUUGGAUGCAACAAAUAAAAAAUAUUAAGUCAAAAUUUAAAAUAAGUAUUUAAUAAAAAUUAUAAAAAAAAAAUAUUAAAAUAAUAAUAAUUAAAAUAGUCAUGCCAUAGGGACGGGUUAUAACUAGUUUCAUAUAUAAUACAACUAACAAAACCAAAAAAUACCCAAACUUCGGUUAUAUUGCCAAUACUAAUUCUUAUCAGUACUAUAUUACAAAACAGUACAUAGAAGUAUGGAAUUACAGUAAAACCUCGAUAAAUUAAUAGCUUUGGAACUGGAGAAAAUUAUUAAUUAAGCGAGAUAUUAAUUCAUCGAUUAAUUAAUAAACUAUUAAUUUAUAUAAUCAACUAUAUAUUUUUUUAUGUAUGUCUUUACUUUGGAGGGUUAAGAUGAUGAAAUUGAAGAUGAUAGUUAUACUAUAUAACCCGUUCCACGAAAAGAAGUACAAAAAUCGAUAAUGAUAUUGAAUGGUUUCUUCUUGCAAUACAAAUUACAACACCAGAUCAGCUCAUCACAGUAUCACAUCAAUUUUCAGAAGAAAUAAGCAACCAUUGACUCUUAUUUUAAGAAAUCAUAAAAUGUAUUUGUAUAUUAAGAAAUUAUUAAUUUAUAUAUUAGUUGGGUCUUCAAGAAUUUUUCCAAAAUGUAUUAUCUAAUAAAUUUAGCGAAAUAUUAAUUUAGCAACCUAUGUAUUAUCUAUUUGGGUAUCUUUACUUCUUCCCCUUCACUAAACUCGAAAGAAAUAACACAGAUUCAUCAACAAAAUCAUCAAUUUUUUGAAAUUUUUUCAACAACUUAACCCAACUUCCAAGUCAUAAUCAAUCAAUAGGUCAGGUCGCUGGGAUUAAUGCAUUCACUAGGUCAGGUCGCUGGGAGACUAGACCAAAGGGGAAGUUUUAGAUGAGGGUGCCUGCACCUCGUUGAGAUUGAGAUUGCCUACGUACUCUAGUUCGUCGGGAUUGAACUUAGAGAUCAAGCCAUCGUAGUUCUGUUUAUAUAGGAGAUAGAAGGGCGCAGAUCAAGGGAUCUUGCAGAUUCUCCGACAUCAUAAUGAGAAUUGAUUAUGUAACGAGCGAGGAUAUUCCCCGUGCAUUGAUUAUGUAACGGGCGAGGACAUUAUGUGCAUUGACUAAGGGAACGUGUGGAUUAGCAGGCCGCCGCUGGUUAUGUGGUCGAGCUACUAGCAGGUCGGUAUCGUGGCGACCUGAUGGAUGAAUGACUGCGCCACGUGGCUGCUUUUGAUUGGUUGGAGUAUGUAGUACCCCUACAUAAGCCCCCUCUUUUUAGGUCGGCUGUAUAAGGCGAGCUGAAAAGACUAAGGACUCUGUUCGAUGCUGAUUUGAAGUUUGCUUUUUGAAUUUGGGCACGUGGCAGUCAUGCAGUGUUGCCUGUAGUAAUUAUGGCGCUCUUACGGGGCAGUGGAGGAGUUUCCUCGGGCAGUUAGCCAUGUAGUUAUGGCAACUGACGCACGUCUUGCUUGAUUAGAUCUUUGAAUGGCACGUGGACUUAUCCAACGGUGGAUGUGAACCGUUUUGUUAGUGGAAAAUAACUGCAAUGGGCGUGGAUUCCUUGCUCGAUCUUGGCCGUUCGUCUAUUUUGAACCGAUUGCUGGGAUUACAUGUGCUACAGUAUUUAAACUGUAGCUUACUUGAGAAGGGUUUACCUAUCUCGCUUUCAUUUGAAUUGCUACCGCUUUUCUCUUGCGAUCUGAAGACCUUUGAGAGCUCGUGAGGUUAGUUUCCUUCUAUUUCUUUUCUUGAGUUAUUUUCUCUUUUCAUCUUCUGCUUUCCUUUCUGUUGGUCGAGAGAGAUGUCUGAAGCAAGUGACUCUCAGAAUGAGAACUUGAGGAAUAUGAGUCUGAAAGGACUCGUUCUGAAACCUCGUCUCCCGGUCGUGGUGUGGACCCUGAUAGCCCCCAGAGUAGCGGCUCUCAUGGGGAGGACACAUCUGACGAUGAAAUGGUGGAAGGAGACGACGGUUCAUUGUGUAGAGUAGUGAACACAAAGUAUGUAAAUAGACACAUUGCCUUGAGGAAACAAUAUGGGCUUAGCUCAAUUGAGCAUUUGGAGAUUAGAUUUUUAGGAGAACGUUUACUUUAUUCUGAUUUUCGACCUAAAAAUCCUUUCUCCGCUGUUUUUACCUUGACCCAAUUCCGAGCUGGGCUGAGGCUGCCUUUGUCUUGUUUGGUGGUCGACCUGUUGAAUGCUAUUGGUCGAGCUCCUUGCCAGAUGAAUGGCAAUUUCUGGAGAAACAUGAGGGUAAUUGAUGACCUCAACAAGUUUCAUAAGUGGAACAUCACUGUAAGUGAUGUAUUGGACCACUUCAGCUUUAAACGUUCUGCAAAGGUCGAUUUUGCGGGCUAUAACAUGCAAGUUAGGCAGAACGUUUGCCUUUGAUCUAUCCGAUAAGUAGUGAGCCAUGGUGGAAAGAUCCCAUGCUGAUUACUGGGUUGAUCAUUGAAGGGAGUAUCCAGUUGCGUCAUGUGACUAGGAAUGAUGCUCGUAAGUUUCUGGUUAUUAGUCUUAGGAUGGUAGAUGAUUUUCCUGUUUCCGGACUUGAUGAUUUUGUAUCUUUUUUGCAGCGAUCAGGGACGAUCACUUGGUGAGGAAGAACGAUCUGCAGUCCGCUUUGAACGGUUUUGGUUUUUUGGCCGACAAACGUAAGAUACAGCUCUUACCCCACCUGAGGGAGCAUUUUAUUCCCAAAGGUGGUCCGAAAACAGUUGAAGAAGAGCUCGAGAGGAGGAAGUCGCUGAAGAAGGCCUUUAUGACUUCUGUACACAAAGCUGAGGCGGGGCGUUCUGGUGGAAGUACUCGCGCUGGGGAGAAGGAGCGAGCUAGUGGUAGCUCUCGGCCUGAGGAGAGAGAGCGAGCUGGUCGGCCUGAGGAGAGAGAGCGAGCUGGUGGCGCUUCUCGGAGGUCGGAGAAGGAGCGGUCUGGUGUUAGCUUGCGCCAGAUGGAGGUAGUGGCGAGCCCCCCGGUCGUAUCCCCUCCGGCCUCACUUCCCAAGUUACUUGCCGGGUCUGGGAAGAAGAGGUCGUUCUCAGGGAACCUGAAGCUGAUGGAGCGCCCGACUGUGCCAUCCUCUGCUCCUCCAAAGUCUGUGAGAUCUCCUGAGAUGUCUCUUGUGUCCAGGAAGACUACUGCUCGACCUUUGCAGAAAGGCAAGGGGGUAUUGUCUGAGUUUCGCCCUGGGCCUUUCGAUUAUUUGGAUGGCCGUGGUGAGAAGCAUGUCGUGUAUGAUAAUGACAGUGCUAUUGACGACCCCUGCGUUGCCCGGGCUGUGAAUGAGGGCAUCGUCUUGGAUGCUGAUGCUCGAGCUGUGAAGUCCCAGACCUUGUUGGUGACUUGCUCGAAGAUAAACGCGGCAAUGUCUUUGGUGAGUGUGAUCGUUCAUCCCUUUUCCUUUGUUUGAGCUUAGUUGUUGCUAUCUAAACUCUGCUUGUAUUUGUAGCUCAACGCAAGCUUCCAGGAGGUUCGUCUGGUUGCUGAGGUUGGAGCUCGAGCUGAGAUUGAUUUGAAGCAUCUCAACGAGAAGCUCGAGCAGGCGAAGAAUGUUGCUGUUGUUGCUGAGAGCAAGUUCAAAGAGAAGGAGGCGGAGGUCGUGGCGUUGAAGGAGAUGCUGGAGCAGGUAAGGGGAGAUUUCGCUGCUGCUAAGGCUUCUGCUGAGUACUGGGAGCACACAAGCAAAGAAAAUGGCGCAGCGUGGAAGGCCUACUGCGACAACCUGGAGAAGGCUUUAAUGGGGUCGCCCGAAGGAGAGGAGACGCGAGGUGGUGCCGAAGGAGCUUUUGUAACAGCUCAGGACACCUUGACGGGCCCUAAUGACCAGGUCGCCAGUGGCCAGAUGGAGAUUGAUGGUCCCAGCGAACAGCCUAUGCAGCAGUGAUCUAGUCUCGGUACGAGUGUUCUUGUAUUGGGUAACCUUGUGCAAAGUGUGCUUCUUGCACUCCUUGUUCUUGCAUUAAGUCUUCUUGCACUCCUUGUUCUUGCAGUAAGUCUUCUUUGGCCUGACUUCCACAGGGAAAAGCUUUUUGCUUUUGUACGCAUUCCUCAAAGCAGCCUUCUGAGUUUGUGAGGUCGAGUGAACAAUCAUUUGUUUUGUUUGAAGUUGUCAUGAACGGCAGUAAUUGAUACUUUAUUUGAUGAGCUUGUAAGUAAGUCGUUCUGAUCAGCUAGUUUCCAGGGAGUCCUGGUAGCUCGUUCAGAAGGCAGGUAGACGAGAUGAAUGGCUGCAAGCAGGACGAACUGAAACAGUUCUUCUUGUAUGCCUUAGUUUAAUUUUGCUUUGACUAGUAGAUCGUUUUACUUGUAAUGGUUAGAAUCUUAUCAAGUAAAAAGAAAUUUCAAUGAUUUACCUUACAUUACUGUUCUUGUCGCAUUGUCUGCUUGUAUGGGUUUCGCAAACAAUAAGUAACACGCAUAGUGUUGGACCUGCUGGUGGAUGAGGUCGUAUGCAAUCUAGCUGUGUUGUGCGUGGGUCGUUGGAUUUGUAUGACCAAUGCACCAAGUUAAGUUGUUAAUGUUAGCACUUAACAAAAUUUAAAUUACCAAAGGGACUAGAGUUUUGGUAAUUUGUAGGUUGAGGGACUGGAUUAGACCUUUAAGAGUCAUUCAUGUUUGAGCUGAGAUGAAGGCAGAAAUGAGUUUGUAUAUUAAAAUGUAAUAACUAGAUGCUUACAUUUUACUGAUAAAACUUCUUCAAGUGAUAAGCAUUCCAUGGGUUCUUAACGAUCUCCCCUUCUGGUGUUUGAAGACGAUAAGAACCGUUGCUUUGAACCUUCGUAAUAAUGUACGUGCCUUCCCAAUUGGCGUUGAGCUUGCCGAUAAUGUCCUUUCUUUUGUUAUGGAACAUUUUCCUUAGGACUAGUUCUCCUGGCUGAAAGGUUCUUGGUCGUACGCCUUUGUUAUAAGCUCGCUUUAGACGUUAUUGAUACUGCUCGAGUUUUAUAACGGCGUGGUUCCGUCGUUCUUCGAGGAGAUCGAUUCCGAACGACCAGACCUGAUUGUUGAGUUCAGUGUCGACCAGAAGGGAUUUGGUCGUUCCGAAAGUUAACUUGGUGGGAAUAACGGCCUCUACUCCAUAGCAAAGACUGAAUGGUGACAUCCCAGUGGAUGUAUGAGGAGUUGUUCGGUAAGCCCAUAGGAUGUUUUCCAAUUGUUGUGGCCAUUGAUCAUGUUGAUCUUCAAGCUUCUUCUUCAGGUUGCCUAGGAUCUGUCGAUUUGCAGCUUCGACUUGGCCGUUGGCUUGUGGAUAUCUAGGUGUUGACCUAGAAUGUUCGAUUUUCCAUAGCUCGUAGAAAGCUUUGAUGUUUUUGCCAACGAACUGAGUGCCAUUAUCCGUCACUAUCCGCUUUGGUAGACCAAAUCGUGUGAUAAUGUUUUCCCACAUGAAUCUUUGAACAUCGGCUUGAGUGACGUUGGCGAGUGCAACAGCUUCUACCCAUUUGGUGAAGUAGUCAAUUGCGACUAGAACAAACUUCUUCUCAGAUUUCUUUUCUUUGAUUAGAGGACCCAUGAUGUCGAGCCCCCACAUAUGAAAUGGCCAUGGUGCAGUGAUGUUGAUGAGAUCGUUGGGAUGCUGAUGUUGCUUAUCCGCGAAACGUUGGCACUCUUUACACUUCAACACAAAUUUCUUCGCAUCUUCUUUCAUUCUUGGCCAGAAGUAUCCCUGGGAGAUCGCUUUGUGGGCUAAUGUUCGACCUCCGGAAUGAUUUCCACAUUCCCCUUCAUGGAUUUCUUGAAAGAUCAUUUGGCCAUGUUUGGGAAUCAGACACCAUAAUAACAAACCAGUUGCAGAUUUUUUGAAAAGCUUACCCUCAUGAAGUUUAUACAUAGUGACUUUAUGUAAUAGCGGACUGGCUUCCUUUUUGUUGGAUGGUAGCACACCAGUUUGAAGGUAAGUGAUGAAAGGUUCCAUCCAAGUUCCUUGGAUGUCUGCCGGUGUUGUGGCUAGUAGAUCAGAGAUUUGAUGAACAUCUUCUUCUUGCAAUAGAUAUGCGGGCUGUGUACUGAUUGCUAUAGUGAGAGCCCGAGGUCGAUCUGACUCGAUCUUGGAUGCUAAGAAUGCCAAUGAAUCAGCAUGUCUGUUGUCAUCUCUAGGUAUGUGAUCGAUUGUGAAAUAACUGAGCUUGCUGAUGAGUUCCUUUGCUUUGCUAGCAUACCUGAUUAAGUUGACACCAUUGAUCUGGUAAUUAUUGGUAAUCGGAUUGACUACCAGUUGAGAAUCGCUAUACACCUUGAGGCGAACUGCUUGUAGGUCGAUGGCCAUUUGUAUACCCUGGAUUAGAGCUUCGUAUUCGGCCUCGUUGUUGGAGGUCGAGAAGUCGAGACGAGUUGCUCUUUCGAGCUGUGAACCCUCAGGGGAAAUUAGUACAGCACCUAUACCACUUCCGUUGGAAUUGUGGGAACCGUCAACAUAUAGUUGCCAUGUGUCAGGAGGGCUGUCCUGGACUUGCCUUGUUUCAGGUUCUGGUUCCCAAUUGAUAUCUUCUGCUGGAUAGUCUGCUAAGAAAUCUGCGACGACCUGGCCUUUGACGGCCUGCCGUGAGACGAACUCAAAUGUAUAAUCACCCAACUCGGCUGCCCAUCGAGCCAUACGACCUGUUUUGUUCUUCUUUUCUAGUAUAUGGCGUAAUGGUUGGUCGGUGAUUACCUUGACAGUGUGGGCUUGGAAAUAAGGUCUGAAUUUGCAUGCAGCGUAAAGGAGAGCUAAUGCUAAUUUCUCUAGAGGUGUGUACCUUAUUUCGGCCUGCUGUAAGACUUUGCUUGUGAAGUAAAUUGGUCUUUCGACCUUAUUUUCCUCCUUGAAAAGCACUGCGCUGAUCGCGAAAUCUGAAGUUGCGAGGUAGAUGCCGAGUAUAUCUCCAUCAUUAGGCUUUGUGAGAACUGGCGGAGUAGAUAAAUAUGCCUUGAGGUCGGUGAAGGCCUUCUCGCAUUCUUCUGACCAUUGAUAUGUAGCCCCCUUCUUUAGAAUAUGAAGCAUUGGUCGACAUUUAUCUGAUGCUCUAGAAAUGAAUCUAUUGAGAGCUGAUACCAUGCCGUUGAGUUUUUGGAUCUGCUUCUUUAUUUUCGGGCUAGGCAUGCCUAUCAGGGCUCAUAUCUGGUCGGGAUUUGCUUCAAUGCCUCGUUUCGUGACUAGGUACCCGAGAAAUAUUCCUGAUGCAACCCCAAACAGACACUUUUCUGGGUUAAGACGCAUUCUGUAUUGUCUUAACCUUUGGAAUGCCUAGUCGAGAUUGGAUAGAUGAUGUUGCUCUUCAUUGCUCUUGACUAACAUAUCGUCGAUGUAGACUUCCAUUGUUCGACCUAGUAGGUCGACGAACAUUCUAGUCACCAGCAUUUGAUAGGUCGCUCCUGCAUUCCUUAAGCCAUAUGGCAUAACCUUGUAGCAAAAAAUACCUUGCUCUGUUGUGAAAGAGGUUUUCUCUUGGUCGGGCUCGUACAUGGGGAUCUGGUUGUAGCCUGAGUAUGCGUCCAUGAACGACAACAGCUCGAAACCGCAUGUCUGAUCGACUAACCUAUCGAUUCGUGGCAGUGGGAAUGAAUCUUUAGGACAAGCUUUGUUCAAGCUUGUGAAGUCGAUGCAGACUCUUGUUUUCCCGUUUUUCUUUAAGACUGGCACAAUGUUGGCUAGCCAGUCUGAGGUGUCGACUCCUUUGAUGAACCCGACCUGUUUAAGUCUGUUAAUUUCUUCAUUAACUGCCUGGUGAAACUUGGGAGCGAGCCUCUUUGGUUUUUGCUUGACAGGUCGAUAAUUUGGAUUGACGCGUAGUUUAUGAGGUCCAGGAUAGCGGAAGACUUGAUGAUAUGUUGACGGAACACCUCUCAUGGCAUGGAUCCAUUUUCGACCCAGAAUCGCAUUAUACUUACUUGCGAUGUUGAGGAUGCUGAACUUGGCAGUGACGACGACCUUAUCUUCCUUUCGGCCCAUAGUGACGGGCAACAGAAUUUCACCCUUAGGAUCUUCUCUAGAACUGUUGAAGCCUAGGAUGGGUGUGAAGUCAGGGAUGAGAACUGAAUCGGGUAACCUCAUCUCUUUGAAUGUUCUGUACAUGAGUAUGUUGCAUGAUGCGCCAGGAUCGAUGAGUACCCUCUUGAUGAUAUAGUCGGCUAUUCUCAGCUCGACAACAAGGGCAUCGUUGUGAGGAGUAACGACCUUGUUGAGAUCGUCCUCCGUGAAAGUAAUAUCGGUUUCCUGGCGCAUGAUGUUGAAGCGAGCUGCUUUGCCAGUAAUCGAGUAGACAUGAUGAAGAUGCUCUACUCGUCUCUUCUUGUCUCUGGACACAGGGGUGGAGCUGGAUUCACAGAUCAUGUAGACUACAUGACUUUCCGACUCGCUGUCACUAUCAAUCUUGUUUGCGACCUUUUUGUUGAGUUGGUCGUGUAGGUCGCCUGUUGGACCUAAUCGUUGGGAGAGGCUACGCCCUCUGCUGCGGACUGGACUUAUGGGGGCCGUUCUGGCCUUGCUAUGAUUUCGCUUUGGUGAACGAGGAGGCGUUCUGGAUUCUUUCCUCGCCCACUUGCUUGUGGAAUCCUCUUGUCUUCCAAGGAUCCAAUUGUUGAGCCUUUUUUCAUCGGCCCAAGUUUGAAGAGCGCGUUUCAGAACGCGACAGUCAUCAGUUUGAUGACACCGUACCUUAUGAACUUUGCAGUACGGUCGACCAGAUGUAUCCUCCAACUGUGUGAAGGUAGGAAUCUUGCACCAAUGGUUGUGCUUGAUUCGCUCAAAGAUGUAACCGACUGGUCGUGUGAACCGGUGAUAAUCUCGUUGCUCAGUAGGCAACGACUUUGCUUUAAACCUCUUGCUGUCUGAUCGAGGUCGCUUGGUGGAGCCAGAUUCCACGUUGCUGAUAACAUGAUUUUUUUCCCUACCAGUUAGGGCUUCCUCGAGCUUGAUGUAACGGUCUACCUUUAGGUAUAGCUCGUCCAGGGAUGAAGGUCGCUUCAUAGCUAAAGACUUGUGUAGGUCGGACCCCUGGAUCAGACCGUGAGAGAAUGCGAUUGUUGCAAAGGUUUCAUGUUCCUUUGCAAAAUCUUGGAUGGAAUGCAGUUCAAAUUUGAACCGAGCAAAGAAAUUGCUCAAUGACUCACCAUCUCGCUGCUUGACUUUGAAGAUGGAAUCGAUGGUGACGGGGAGCUUCUUGUUGUGGAUGUAGAAGAUGACGAAUUGCUUUUCGAGCUCGGCAAACGAGCUGAUGGAUCAUGGCUUCGAACGGUGAAACCAGUCAAGAGCAGGUCUGGUGAGGCUGGACUGGAACAGUAAACAUAGAAGAUGAUCUUCCUUGAUGAGAGGAAGGGAUUUUCGGAAUCCCUUGAUAUGGUCGGUUGGAUCUCCGACUCCUGCAUAUUGGUCGAACUUGGGGGCAUUGAGGUUGUUUGGCAAUUCAUGUUCAAGGAUCUCCUUGGAGAAAGGAGACUCCUGGAACUGCUGGAGAGACUGGACAGCAAGUUGCUCCGCGGUGUGGCUUUUGGAAUGGUGUAGGAUAGCCUGGGAGGCUUUGAACUCCGCUAGCUGUUGGCUGAGUUGUUCGUACUUCUGGUUGGCGUCAUCAGUAGCAAUGACUCCCUGUCCACCAUUUGCUCCUUGUGCGGGGUUGGUAGUUUGCGCAGCCUUCAAACGUGCGUUCUCUUCCUGAAGACGAUUGAUUUGGUCUUGCAGAUCUUGGAUGGUGAGUUCUUAAGUAGCCAUUUGAAUGAAUGACUUUGAGAAGGGUGGGGGGGUUUGGGUUUUUUCGAUAUGAUCGAAUUCCUUACAGUCGGCGCCAAAUGUAUUAACCUAUUUCUAGAUUAAUGCAUUCACUAGGUCAGGUCGCUGGUAGACUAGACCAAAGGGGAAGUUUUAGAUGGGGGUGGCUACACCUCGUUGAGAUUGAGAUUGCCUGCGUGUUCGUCGGGAUUGAACUUAGAGAUCAAACCAUCGUAGUUCUGUUUAUAUAGGAGAUAGAAGGGCGCAGAUCAAGGGAUCUUGCAGAUUCUCCGACAUCAUAAUGAGAAUUGAUUAUGUAACAAGCGAGGAUAUUCCCCGUGCAUUGAUUAUGUAACGGGCGAGGACAUUAUGUGCAUUGACUAAGGGCACGUGUGGAUUAGCAGGCCGCCGCUGGUUAUGUGGUCGAGUUGUUGUGGUCGAGCUACUAGCAGGUCGGUAUCUGGAUGAAUGACUGCGCCACGUGGCUGCUUUUGAUUGGUUGGAGUAUGUAGUACCCCUACAUUAUGCACAAGAAGUCAGUCAACUCUGUCAAAGGAAAACUAUCCCUAAAGCAAAGGAGGUAAUAAUGUAAACUCUAACCUACAUUCAUUUCUGUUUAUCCUUCCCAGGAAGAUGUUUGGUGAUUAAUAUUAUUGAAUCGCAAUAUGUUGAAAUGUUAGUGAGUUUUUAUAUUAACCGAAUUGUGAUGGAUAACAACGGCAAAUACUAGUAGGGCAUCGUCCAUGUCUCCACAAUGCCUGAUAUGUUUGAUGUUGAUUUGUAAACAAAAUCUGCUUGAAUUAUGUUAGUAAACAAUGCGGAAAACUCUCACCCCAAUGGAAAAUUGAGUUAUUGGAUGGAAAUUAUGGAUGUCAAAAGUAAUUAUAAAUCCAGCUUCAGCCAUUCAUAAAUUGAGUUGUGAAUUUCACCAAACGGAAUGUGGAUCCACCAUAGACCAAUAAAACACUAUCACAUAUGGACAUAUGGUGCAAUAAAUUUUUUUUUUAUAGACAUGUGGCAAUUUUUUAUUGGUUACAUAUGUUUUCCAUAUAAAAAGCACAACACAUAAAUUCUAUUUUGAUAUGGAUAGAUACAAAAUGCAAGUAUGAUAUUGGACUAGCUAGUUAGAUUUCUAGCACAAAAGUAUGAUAUGCAAGGUGCUAGCUAGUACAAGGAAAUGAAGAAAACGCAGGAACAUUUUAAAUUUGUCAACAUAAAAAAGUUGCGAAAACAAAAAUCUUCAAUUACUAAUACUAAUUUUCAACGUUCUAAAUCACAAUUUCUUAAAACACCAAUGAGAUUUUCGGACUAAGGUUAAUUUAGGCUCAGAAGAUCUAACAUCAUCGUAACAUAAAGGCCAGAUUCAAAGUAGUAUGAAGAAGAUCCGAUCCAAGAUCCAAGACAAAAAACCAUCUCAAUUAUAUUGAUUCCAAAAUUAAAGUUUACCGAAAUAGAUAUAUUGAUUUUUUCUUCACCAGAUUAACUUGCAAGGUACCAGUAUUUCAUGAAAAUAGUAGUAUACCAACUAGACAUAGACUUGAAUCAUAUUCUAAUUACAUCUCAAAUUUAUUCUCAAUUUUCUCCAGUAUCCCAAAGUACUGUAUGUCCAAAAUAAGAAAAUCCACUAUUUAUGAAAAGAAUUUAAAUUAUGUACAAGUGUGAAGGGAUGAUGUAGAAUAACAAGUAGCCAGGUACUGUAAGCCAAGAGGACAUGCAGGUAGAUAUAUACUCAAGGAGUCAAGGCCAAGCUAGGAGCAUGAGACCACAAAUAUGGAUGAUUUCUGCAUGCUGUUCGUGUGAAUGUUUCAACUUGCCAAUAGUAAUUAUUUCAACUCAAGCACACAAAUUGCUAGUAGAAGGAAUGAAAUGAGCUAAACGCAUGCAAGCAUUUCUAAUGUGACUAGAUAAAGCAGUUACCAAAACACAAAACUUUAACUGCUGGAACUUUUUGUUGUGCGCAGCGGAAACUUAUGCACCAAUACCCAAGAUUGAAAUAGUGUAUGAAUUAAACAAAACAAAAUAGAGAAGAGGAAACUCCUACUACUAUCAAACAAACCCACACAAAACACAAGAUUUACGUGGUUCGGCUAAUAUUGCCUACGUCCACGGACAAACAAAUAGAACCUUUACUAUUGGAGAAGAUAGUACAAAGCUCUCAAACAAAUGGAGAAACCCUAGGUUUUCUCCCUUCUCAAAUCCUCACCAAAUCUCUCAAAGAGACAAUCACAAAUUGAGGAUACAAACUCUCUCUUACACUUGGAUGGAGACGAUUAUAGAAGCCCUCACGAAGAAACCAAAGUGUUCUUCCUCACAAAAGUUCUCUCAAACUCUCUAAUGGCUUCUCACAAUCUCUCUCACAUCAAGAUUAGGUUUUCCAACUUCUAAUUGGCUUUAUAACAUAGCCUUACAAUCAAACACGAAAAUGGGCCUAAACAGGCCCAUAUGCAGCAAACACAGUGAGGACGUACGUACGUCGAAUACACGUUCGUACGUUCAGCUUCAAACAAACUUCCUUCACCAAAAAAAACCCAACACUUUUAAACACACCAAUGAACCAAGUAACAACUCAUCUUAAUAAUGGGCUAACUAUUCGAAAACGAGUCGGACUAAACCCAUGGGGAAAGUUUAGGCAUUAUGGUACUGUAGGCCCUAUUAAGUUCAUAUUGCUAGACAAGUAAAUAUUUUGCAGAACAAUUUGGUUAAAAUAAGAGUUUGCAGAACAAUUUGUUGACUUAGCUAAAAGGACAAAGACUUAUAAUCAGACGUCUAAUUAUAGAAUCAGAUUGUGUAGUAAUUCUAAUUAUAGCCCUUUUAAUUAGGGUUAAUUACAUCAUUGGUAUAAUGUACACUUGUGUUGAUUUUACUUUGACAUAGUAUAUGAGUAAACGUCUGAUCAUGAGGGGUAUUUCUGCUCAAACAAUGUUAAAGUUUUUGUCCUUUUGCCAAGUCAAAAGAAAAAUGUAAUUCCUUUUGAUAGGGUUCAAUUACCAACAACAAAUUUCGAUUCUUUUUUAUCUUUAACCUCCAUCUAAUGUCUUACACGCGUAAAAUGAUUUGACCAUUUAUAUCACAUAUCAAUAAAAGAAAUCAGCCACUGAAACCCUAAAAAAAAAAAUCAAUGAAUCUGAUUAAAAUCUAUUUCUUGCGAUUUUGUUUUAUUUAUUUUAUUUUAUUGCCAAACGAGGUUGAGGGGAUCCCUACCCUUUAAAUUAUGUGAGGAAACUUAUAUGAAACAAUCAACUUUUGACGUUGUGGGUGCAAAAUUUUGAUCCACAAACUCGAGAUAUGUAUUGGUUAAUCGAACAGUUACAAUGAAUGCUUUGUACAAACUGAGAUGGGAUGUGGGUAUACAAUGAGACUGGACCUCAUAAGGAUCAUGCUGCCUAUGUAUCCAAGAUGAUGAACUUGGAAUCAAGUCUCUGCUUCCACUAAGCUCUAAUGGAGCUGCUCAGUGAAAGACUCGUAAUUCAGGAGGUUAAGAACUCCUGUAUUUAUUUGUAGUAGGCGGGAGGAGGCUGGCUCAACCACCCCUCCGAUUUUGACUCCAUGAACUCAGGUAGCUUAACUAUGAAGAUGCUUUUCGUAGAGAUAGCUUGCAUGUUGCUGAGCGGUUAUCCCCUUGGUUUGAAUCCCCUUUGACCAAGAUGACUGCCACGUGGCAUCCUCUAAUAGGCUCUGGUUCAACCUGGGUCUUCUAUUAUCUUCUCCAACGGGCUAGAACAAUGGGUUCUGUUAGCCUGGAAUCUUGCUAGACUUAUCCAGUUGGUUGUGACUUGGAUUUGACCAAGUCCGGAAGCAAAGACUUGGGCUUGACUCCUCUGAUCGGAGGCCCAUUCUACAUUGCAUACACCAUGGCCAGGUCCUCUGGGCUUCUAUGAUAAGCCUUUGGGCGAGCCUCUGUCGCUGCUGGACUUUACUGGGCCGGACCUGGCUUACCUGACUGAGGUGGGCCUGGUUGAUGUAUGGGAGCUCACGGUUCAACUUCUUAUACAGUAACCGGGGCUCCACCCAUUGAUCGUGGACCAUCCGGUGGAUCAAGAUCCACAGAGCGUGUGUGGACUCUUUGAGACCGGGUUGGGCCCUACCCGAUAGCCCAGGCCUGGCUGGCUAAUGCUCAGGUGCUCCUGGUUUAGCUUCUUAUACAGCCAUCGGUGACACCUAUCGGGUUUUUUUACCUAGGGUACACACAGACGUGUUUCGAACCCGACCUCUCCACUUUGUGAGAG